rnacentral:lncRNA from 1 species
AAGUAUCCACAGCUGUAGUUUUUAGUUCAAACCUUGGCAAGGCUUUGGAGAACUUGUGAGGGUGAGGUUUUAUAGCUUUGGUUUUAGAAUGUGUUCCCUUUUUCUGUGUUGCAGUUUCUUCUGUCCAGAGGCUUGCGAUAAGCAUCUCUCCAGAAGCCGAAAAGUCAGUUUCUUGAUCCAUUUGAGCAUGCUCAGCUAACAGGCUUUCCCACCAUAUGAUGUCAUCAUUCGGUUGUGGUGACGUGGAUGAUGGCUUACUGGAAGUACUUACUUGUGUGUCAAAAGUAUCCACAGCUGUAGUUUUUAGUUCAAACCUUGGCAAGGCUUUGGAGAACUUGUGAGGGUGAGGCUUUAUAGCUUUGGUUUUAGAAUGUGUUUGGGGUUUUUUUCUCCCUUCUUCCUGGAACUGAACCUUCUUUUUCAGGUGGUGACCAUGCCAAUAGUUCUUGACAUCAUUAGCAGUCCUCCCUGGAAGCCUACCCGCAAUCAAGGACCAUCUAUACACGCACAACAUCAGACAAAGUAUCAACUGAACAGCUCUUUUGUAAGUUCUGAACAGCUUCAGAACUAAUAUAAUAUCAUUAUCAAGCUAGUACUUGAGUUAUUAUAGACUUGCCUGUUCCCCAACAAAUUGUGAAGCCUAAUCAUGAGAUCAACCUCGUCUAAUGCAAACUCUCCUCUCUUGAUAUCUGGCUUCAAAUAAUUGAGCCAUCUCAAUCUGCAGCUCUUUAGGCAUCUAUUCAACCCUGCAAACUCAAGAAAACGAAACUCUUUAAGCAAAACAGAAGUAAAAAAAACACAAAUUAAUACUGAUCCCUUUCUCUUUCAUGUCACCUGCUCGGAGGGGAACCAGAUGCCACUUUCCUUCUCCAUAUUUCUCAAUGCAUUUCCUCAGGAGAACAUCCUCUUCUUGGGUCCAUGCACCCUUUCUAACUCCUAAGCUCUUCAUCGAGUCAACUCAACACAAGAGACCGGCUCCUUCUCUAAUUAUUGAUUGAUAUAUAACAACCUCGAACCUGUUCUAUCUCAUGACUCGGACACCAGACCCCUAAUUGGUUGAUUCGACACGUUUCUUAUGGUGCAUUACCUGGCUUCCGAAUGCGAUGGACAUCAUGGACAAAGGGUGUGUGUCAUAAGAGAUAUUUACCCAUUAUGUAUCAACUUACUAUAAAUGUACAGCGAAAUUUAGGAAUUAAUUGCUGACUAGUAUCCUUUAUGAACAAUCUCUAUUUUGUGGUGCAAAUGUAUAAACUGGUGUGAUCCCGAAGACAACCACGUGCUACCAUAUUUUAAUGUCCAGAGGAAUUCAUUUGGACAUUGGUAGGAUGAAUGGGACAUUACGUAGAAGAUUUGGAUUCUGAUACCACUGUUUCCUUGACAAAAAGCAACCAAGUGAUGGGAACCUUUGAGGGCCACCGCUCCUCUUUCAACUUUAACAUUUUCUUUUGUCGACUAACCCAUGUUCACUGAAAAGGGAAGCUCCAUGGGUCCUCUACCAUUAUAUUAUGGCCGCUAUGCAGUGGCAGCAGCUAAUUCAUGGGAAUUGUCAGCGAAGAAAGGUACAAUCAUUAGGAUAUGCCUCUGGCUCGCGGAGGACUUUGUUUCUGACCAGUAACGUCGAUAAAAAUACAUUUUAGAACUUUUUCUAUUGUCAAUUCAAUGACCGGGUUCAUUCUCAACCAUCCAUCUGUUGCUUGGGACGUGUGUCAUUUCCUACAAUGUACUCUCCUCACUGACAAUUAUUUUCCCUCAAAUAUAUACAAGUAUAAAAAUUUGCAUAUAAAUUAAAAUUGUUUUAAAAUUUGAAAAAUGAUGGAAAUUGAUAAAAGUAUAAAAAUUUCACCUGAACCUUUGAAAUUUUUUGAUAAAAUAAGUAAUGUGUAGAUAUUAAAUUAUUAUAUUUUAAAAAAAUUAAUAAAAUAACAAAUAUGAGUUUUCAAGUGAAUAUUUUGAUUAGUAGUGUUAAGAAAAAAAAUUUGUUAUUGUUAAUAAAAAUAGAAGAAAGUUAUGAUUUUGCACACCAGUAAUUCCUUAAUUCUGCAUGCAUCAUUUUCUCCAAAGACCUUUUGACAUUAAAGAAGGAAAAAAGAAAAAGAAAAAAAAAGAGCUUAAUAUAGAGGCAGCAAUAAGAUAUCUUAUUGAAGAAGACGUUUUUAGACUUAUGUGGGAACAUUAUAGGCUUUAAUGAAAUUUUUAUAAUAUCAUUUUUAUCUUCUUUUUUUCUUAAUUAAAAAAAGUUGUUAUUCCAAAUAUAUCAUUUUCUAAACCUAAACUAUUUAAUCGGCGUGUAUUAUUGGUUUAAUGCGAAUUAAAAACCAAAGUUCCUUCAUUUUUUAUUGCUUUAAUGUGGAAUGUAAAAAAAUUAAUUGGUUAAAAGAGAUUCAAUACUCCUCGUAUUUGUGAAUUUAUCGCUUCCUUCUUUUUACUUGAAAAAUAACAUAUUUUUUAUUAUAUAAAUGUCACUUAUCAUCUCAAGUAUUUAUACAUAAUUUUAAGAGAAAUGAUUAUUUUUAUAAGAAAAAAGUGAGGAUAUUUAUACCAAAACGAAGCCAAAAAAGAAUGGAGGGUUAAACCCUAUUUGGUAACUAUUUUUUAAAACCGUUCUAAAAAAUAGUUUUUGAAAAUUAUUUUAUAAUUUUUUAUAAAAUAAAAGUCGGUUUGAAAACCUAAAAUAUUUUUAACAUAUUUUAAUAUUUUUAAAAAUAACAUUUUAUAUCCAAUGUUUUAUUUUUAAAUUAUAUUAUAUGUUUGUAUAAUUAUUUUUUAAAAUAAUUUUUUAAAAAUAAAUAAAAAUAAUAUAAAACAAUUAAAAUAUGUUAUAUAAAAAGACUUUAUUAUAUAUUCUUAGAAACAUAAAACAAAAAAAAAAAAUUCUAGUUGUAAGACUGUAGACCCCUUUUGUGGUGAGGGCCCGGAGAGUUGUUAUUUCUUUCCUUUUCAUUAUAUCCUUGGAAGGGGGGACCUCCCUGAAAGCAGCUGCAUGGUUUGUGGUGAGGCCCCGUGAGAGUUGUUAUUUCUUUCCUUUUCAUUAUAUCCUUGGAAGGGGGGACCUCCCUGAAAGCAGCUGCAUGGACGUGUAGCAAGAGAGGAUGGUUGGCCAUGGUGGUGGGUGAAUAUGACGGAUUGGCGGAAUGGUGCACAGUGGAGCGGGUGAUGGCUUGCUGCAGAAGACAGGAACAGGGGGGAGGAGAUAUUUAGCUGAAAUUUUCCUUUGGCUUGACGGGGGGGAAGACCUUUUUUUCGUGAGGCUUUUGAGAAGAAAACCAGAGGUGUGCUGAGAAGGAGGGGCCUCAACAAGGAGAAACCGGAGGAAGGGGAGAGCUUUCCAGGGACCGUGAGAAAGAAGCAGGGGAGGAAUCGCUCAGGUUUGAUCAUACCUUACCUUGUGUUCUUCACCUUUCUUUUAUCUCAUUUUAUUUUGAUGGUCACACUAAUGCUUCUAGUUGAUGUUUGGAUGCUUGCUCUGAUCAUUUAAUGUGUUAAAUCUGCUUCUUGUUUUCGUUUGCUGGGUCUCUGUCUUCCCUUGUAUGAGCUGUGUGAUUAUUAUGCUGUUUGUCUAUGUGAUAAGACCAUUCGGACCCUCUCACCAGCUUCUUUUGAAAGCUCCUUAAUUUUCAUCAAAAUGGGGCUUGGAUUUAACGGCAUCAUCUUCUCUUCUAUAUACUCUGUUUUUUUUUUUUUAUCACUAUCAUCCCUGUUUCUGGCAUUUUGGAGUGUUGAACAUCAUGUCGAAUCUGGCGAAAUCAGACCGUCUUCGCUUCACACCGUUUAUGAUCUCAGCCAUGAGGAGUGUUGCUAACAUUCAGGUAUGAAAGAGAGUGAUGUAAGGAGUGGCCAUGGGCGACGUUAUGAAGCCAAGAAAUAAUCCUGAGCUAGCCAAUUUUAAAACAGUCCUAACUCUGGGACGGUUGGGUAUGUAUAUGGUAUGGCGUUCUUCAUUAUUGAUCUACUAGCCUAGGCAAUUUAGAUUAUGGCCAAGUGUUCUGAUAGAGAUGGAGAAGCUAUAAGGCUGCCAGAGGACCAAUUCCAAAAGAUGGAAAAUCAUGCUCUGAACGAAGAGCCGCUGUAUGCUUUUAGAUUGAGUUGUGGAGCUGCAGAUACAUAAACAGAGGGCUGCGGAGGAAUUAUCAUCAUGUAAGAAGCUUCCCGACUUGCCUCAGAAUCAAUCAUCAAGCAAAGCCCUGCCAAAUUUAGAGAGAGUGGAAUCACUUGUACAGGUGAACCUUUCCAACAAUCAUUUGCAUGGCAGUUUACCUUCCACCAGAGCAUUCUUCGCCAUCAAUUCGAGCUUAGUCUCAGGAAACAAUCCUUGUGGUGGGGACACUGCAAGUGAGCCACCACCAUGCAAGAGGUUAAAAAUCCCAGUUGGAGGGUUCUUCGUCACUUGUCUCCUAGUUGUUUCGGUGGUGCUCACUCUUGCUGUUUUUGCCGCUGUGUUCAUCCUACACCGAGAUGGGUCAGAGCUCAAGAGGGUAGAACAUGAAGAUGGGAUGUGGGAAAUGCAGUCCUUUGAUUCCAAAGUCUCAAAAUCGAUCACAAUCCAAAGCAUACUGCCGUUUAUAAUAGAAAAUAAUGUGAUUUCAUACAAGGAAAAGAUUAAAAUGGUGAGACGGCCUCCCUUACAGCUUUGAUGAAUCGACUUGUUAUUCAUCUAAAAAAGGCUCAUGGAUCAGAAUCCUAUGAGACCAUCUAUAGUGUAUCUUCUGAAAUUGUCAUAAGAGGUCCAGGCCCACUUUUGCAUGGUGCGCCUCCCAAAUACCCCACUUACCCAUCUUUUUGUUCCCGCCACCUUUCCUUUCUCUAUCACCACAUGCAUCUCUCAAGCCCACCAUGCCCAUAUUUCACACCCACUGAACCCAUGUUUCUCUCAUCACCCCUCAUCCGAUCCCACACGAGCUCACCACCUUCAUGUGUUCAUUCCUCACUCAUACAUGUAUGGAACCAUGCAUCCAUGGCUGCCCAUCAUUCCCACUCCCGUCUCGUGCCAACUGCCCAAGCCAUUCCACUUCAUCACCUUUCCACCCCCCAUGCUUGCCACAUUCAUUUCUUCCAACACCCUUUAAACUCACUCCAUCCGCCACCCAUUUAACCCCAUUGCAAACAUGGCCACCUCAUACCCAUUUCUCUUACUCAUAAUUCCAUUCAACACUUCCCAACUCACCCCGUUUCCCCGCCAUCUCUCAAUAUUCCUUAACCCAUUUAUCUCAUUAUCCCCUCCACCAUGUAACCCACUGUCUUCAUGCCCCGCUAAUCCCAUACCCGUCACCACUUUCUCUCUCUCUCUAAAUCUUCAUCCAUACCCAUUUCUCUCACUCACUACCUUUCCGUUCUUUCCAAACCCACAAAACCAUCUCAUCCCGCCACCUUCCAUCCUCCGUUCCGCCAAUAACCACCCGAAGACUAAGAAGAUUCUACAGUUCCAGCGCUCGAGACAAAUAAUUACUGGCGUCUUUUCCGAAAGAGAACAAGACAAUAAUGAGUAUGCUGCACGGGUUGAUCCCUAUGUGACAUGCGGGUAUCCUAUUUUAAGGGGUGUCUAGGAAUUGAUUUGCAAGCCAGGAUACAUAUCCGCCACAGCGAAGUGCCUGGCUUACGUCAUUUGCAUCACAAGACAAUCAUGAGAUGCGAGUAUCGUUUGCAUUGGAGUGAAGUGUACUCUCCAUAAUUGGUGCUCUUGGAAGUAUACCUACGAGAUGAAGCAGAUAUAUUAUCUGUUUUAUUUGUGUUAAAGUAUAUUAUAUUAUGGGCUAUAGGCCCAAUUAGGUUAUUUGUAUAGUACUUGUACUAUACACUUGUAUCGCACAGUAUUUGUACUGCACACUUGUACCGCACCCUUGUACUGCACCCUUGUACUAUACACAUAUGCCUCCUAUAUAAAGACACUGAUGUAUAUUCUUUUAAUCACAUAAUAGAAUACAAUUAUUCUAUAUUUCUAACAUGGUAUCAGAGCCACUGUUCUGAACUUUUUUUUUUUUCUUAGCAGUCUUGUUUUCAUUAGUGUGACUUCCUUCUUUCACUAAGUCAUCCCGUCGUCGUCCUUGGGUUCCGGACCUGCAGCUGCCAUCGUUAAGAAGUUUCACACUGCACAGACCACUGCCCUUUGCAUCACCGCUGCGAAUAUUGCUCCGAUUUCAUUUUUGAAGGUACCAUUGAGAUCGUCCAGCGCCGAUCUACACAGUACUUGUACUGCACACUUGUACCGCACCCUUGUACUACACCCUUGUACUACACACAUAUGCCUCCUAUAUAAAGGCAUUGAUGUAUAUUCUUUUAAUCAUAUAAUAGAAUAUAAUUAUUCUAUAUUUCUAACAAUUUGAUAAUGGAUAAAAUCAUGGUGACUUUGUGGUCUACUCCAUCGAGAAGUCCUCUCAAGAGAUAGGGUCGUCUUAUGAAGGCACGUCGGAUUUUGACGGUGUAAGAGUUGCUGCAUGGAUAGUGCUGUCCAUCUCAAUUCCACUUUCAGAAGCUCGGAAGGUUUGCGGCAUGCUAUCUAGAAUUCUUCAUCGCUCUUGUCGUGGGAUUGAUUGGCUUCAAAGAGAUUGAAUUCUUCCUCUUGAGUUAGACAGGUUGCUCAGGCAGGAGGCUAUCUUGUCUGCUCCCCUCUUGGAGCCUAUACACAGGAUGAGGACGACCUUAGAAUACAGAGGGAAAUGGUUGUCCUUGCGGAAUGCAUAUGUUGGAGAAUAGCUGUAAAAAAGGAAUCAAACCGUCAUUUGGCAGAAACCUCUGACCAAUGGUUGUCACAAGGAGCGAACGCCUGUUACUCGGCCUCCAGCAUGGAUGAUGCGCUAAGCUGGAAGGUACAUGGCUGUUUACAAAAAACUUGCAGAGAAAUACCCCCUCCUUCAGACAGAGAGGAGGUGAGAGGCCCUGUUAUCCAUUCUCCAAUUCGCUCCGAGGAAGGAGGUGGGGGGACAAGCUGCUGUUCCGGGUUUUGUGGGAGUACCUUGAACAAUGGGGACAUGUAUAGUGGAAGGCGGUACAACUCGGGCACAUACGAUCAUAAAAAGCGUGUGUCAUACAACACCAAAUGUAUUGAGGGCUUUUCUUUCUCAUUUGACGCUUGUAAUAUCUGAAUACAUUGUUUUCUAAGUUGAAUCUGGGGCCCACUGUAUUCAAAUAUUUGACUCUUGGGGUGGUCAACUACCGCCUGAUAUGGGGGAGUGCUGGUCAAAACCCUAUAUUGGAAGAGUUGAGGUAGAAGAAGAUGGUGAUAUCGGCAUCAGAGCUACGAAGGAGGGUUUAGGGCUCCAAGCAGCUGGAUCGGAUAGCUUCAGGGCUGACUUAUGCUGGAAUGGGAUGCAGGGGUCCACAAGGAAAGAGAUAUUUUAUACCAUCUGGACCCACAACAGUCAUUGGUAUUCCAUAUUCGACCACCAUUGCACAAGACCCCUUGCAUGGCCACCUUUUGAUAGGCCAUCAUCAAAACCCGUGGCUCCCCUCCUUUUAUUUUCAUGCAAACCUCCAGAACCUGAUUUUCGAGGAUCAUCGUUUUUUUUUACGUGAUUUUAAUUCUUCACUUUUUUUCUCUUUUUCUUGAUUCUAGGUACCAUUUUCAACUAGACUUGCCUAUUUUCGUUCAGUUUAUUUAUUUAUUCAUUUAUUGCUAUUAUUAUUAUUAUUAUUAUUUUCAUUUUUUGUUUUCAUCCUUGUUUUUAUUUUUAUUUCCUAUCCUUGACUUUAGAUAUUUUCCAUUCUUUAAUAAAUUUGGUAGCCACAUUCCUUCUCGACCAAUAUCUUUCAUAAAUCCUCUUUUAUUUUUAAUGAUUUUCUAAUUUUCACGUUUAAUAAGCCAAGAUUUAAUUUUGUGAUUCCAAUUAAUGGAAUUUACGAAAUUAAUUCAUUGCUAAAAUAAAUUAGGUUUUGAUGGGAGCCUCACAUGUGAUUUUAUAAUUGAUUGAUCGUUUGAUUGAUUUGAUUGUUAUGCAUGAUCGAUCUAUUAUGUUCUAAGACAUGCAUGAUAUUGUUCCUUAAUUGUGUACUAACCCUCUCUCUUAAUAGCGCAUGGUAACUCAUUGUCCAGUUACGUACCCACUUUCACUCUGAUCAGUGUCUACGCAUUUUCUGGUUCUCACAUGUGCAUGUUUUAUUCUAAGUAUUCAUUGAUUCACUCAUCCAUUAUCAUGAUUACUUCAUCUCAUUAGUAGAGACCCGGUUUUAAGGAUUUAGAGGGGUGUUACGGUCUUUACCGUACCUUCCCAAUAAGUAACCUGACCUCCGAGCCUGACCUGAUUUUUCACAGACUACCUUUUCCAAAAUAAAGAGUCACACUUAGGGUCUUCUUUUUUAUUUUGUUUACCCUUUUAAAAAUAAAACAAAAAUAAGUGGCGACUCCAAGUCAUUUUCCAAUAAACAAAGUCAUUUUUAAAAUAAGAAUUGAGUUCGCCAUCGAGUAAAAAACGUAUGAGCCGAAACAUGGGGUCCACACAAAUAUAUUUUCGUGUUUUUUUAUUUUAAAUAAUAAAAAGUUAUUCUAAAAAACCAUGCUAAGCAAAUUCUUAAAUUUCCGAAAAAACAAAAAACAUAUAAGGUUACCAAGAAAAUUUUUUAUGAGACUUCUAAGUUUUCAAUGAAGAACCAGAUUGAGACUUCAAUUAAAAAAUAGAAUCUUAAUUGACAAUUAUAACUUUAAUUUAAAAACGAAGUAUCAAUUGAUAAUUAUGACUUCAAUUCAAAAACCGAAGUCUUAAUUAAUAAAUAUACCUUUAGUUCAAAAAUAAAGUCUCAACUGUAAUUGUAAUGAGAUCUUAACUAUAUGUUUUAAAAAAUAUAUAUUUUUGAGAUGCUCGUAUGCGGCACUUAAGAGACCAACAUAAAUUUUAUAAAGUAGUUAGAUAUGGGACAUUUUGGCCCAAAACUCCAGCAAGUAGCACCUCUGUUUUGUGCUGGGUACUGGACCAGACGACAGUGGUCAAAGCUGACUGUGACCUGGGCCCACAGGCUAAUUUUAAGCUGCACUCGUGACCAGCGCUUCCAGCGUGCUGGGUCAGACGAGGCAGCGGUGGUGAAAGUGGGCUGUGAGCUGGGCCCACAAACCAAUUUUGUGAAAAUCCAGAAGGUGAAAAUCGGUGACGUGGCACCGACAUGUUCCAAACCGUCGACGUUUUCAUCACUGAAUUUUCCAGCACUUCAGCCAUAAUUUCCAAGUACAUGUACAAGUUUUUAGGUAAAUUAAUUGUCGAACAUAUGAGAGUAUAAGUUUUGGAGCAAAUGAGUUGUACAACAUGUCAGAGCCUCAGUGGAAGGGAAGAGGGUUUAUAUAUUCAAAUAUUACUUAUAUUUAUUUUCUUAAUUUAUUAAACUUAAAAAUAAGAUAUUAUUUAAAAUUUUCUAAUGAAUUUUUUAUUUAUUAUUUAAUUACUUAAAUUAAUUUUUAUUUAUUUUUUUAAAUUAUAGAAUUAAAACUUUUUAUUUAAAUAUUGUUUAAUAAAUUUAAAAUUUAUUUUAAAUUAUCAAAUUUAUGGUUAAACAUAAAUAUUUAAAGUAUUAUAAAUACAUAAAAUAUAAUAGAUUUAUUAGAAAAAAAAUAAAUUAUUGAUGUGAAAUCAUGAUUAUAAAAUAUGCUAUUAUGUAGCAAAUAAGAUAAAAAAAAGAUUUGAAAUUAAGGAAAAAAAACUAUUUUGCCUUAAUAUUUGAAGUUAAAAAAAAAAAAAAACUGUAAUAUUGUUAUUUAAUUACUGAUAUGUGUUUGAAUGCCUAUCUCCUUAAUUUAUUAAGCUUAAAAGAAGUUAUUUGUUUUCUCUGUAAUCUCAAAAGAGACUACAAAAGAGUAUUAAAGUACUUGAUAUAAAUGAUAACUCAAGUCCUAUGAGCUUAAGUAUUCAGAUUAUAUUAAGGUGGUGUUUAUUUUUUUACUUAAUUCUAAAUAGAAAUUUAAUGCUUAAUAGUGUUAAAUAUUAGAUUGUUUAUUUUUAUAGUAUUUUAUUUCUAUUAAGUAUUAAAAAAUAAAAAAAAAUUAAUAUAUUAUUUUUUCUAUUUAAAAAAAAUUAAAUAUUUUGAUUUUUUCUAUUCAAUAAAAAAUUUAUAAUAAGUUAUAAAAAAAUAGAAAAAUAAAUAACCUAAAUUGUGAAAACAAUUUCCUUUCAAUAAUAAACAAAAGGGUAUUAGAGUACGCUAGCUAUCUAGAUAAUAAACUCAAGUCCUACGAGCUUAAAUAUUUAGGUUAUGCCUCAUCGUUGAAUUUUAUCUCAGAAUUUCCCAUGAUUCUUGCAAUAUAACCUGAAUAGUGCAGGUGUGAAGACAUGUAUGGCCCGGUAACUUUUGCUAUUUGUAGUCCUUAAUUAUAUAAUCAGAAUAAAAAUGCGUUAAAUUAAUCAAAUAUUAACUAGGGAGUAUGACAUUACACAAAAGUACGUGGGGAGGGAAGUAACUUGAUAUAAAACUGAUGAAAUCUCAGAUGCUCAUUUAUAUCAUGGCUUCUCCAAUGAGGCCCAUUUCAAAAGGAAAAUCAAAAUUCCCACCUCCAUUGGUAUCUACAGCUGAUGCAGUUUCGUCAGCCAGGAGGCUGGCAAUAAGCUCCUGAUCUUCAAUGGUAUGGUCAGCGAAUAGGCUUUCCCACCAUAAAAUAUCCUGGUUUGGUUGGACCAGUGUGGGUUGCAGCUCACUACAAGUACUGCCUUGUGUCUCAGAAGCAUCCACAGCUGUAGUUUUGAAUGUGAACCCUAGAAAGAGUUUGCAAGGCUUAGGCUUUAUCAGAGUGUUUUCAGAAUUGGUUUGGGCUUUAUCUUUCCCUUUUUCCUGGAUGGGAACCAUCUUCUUGAAGCGAUGAUGGUGCCAGUAAUUCUUGACAUCAUUCGCAGUCCUCCCUGGAAGUCUGCCGGCAAUCAAGGACCAUCUGGAAAAACAUAGCUACAAUUUUUUUAAAAGUGUUGAAUUAAAAUGAUCUUAUUUGAGUUUCUAAUUCAUGGAGGCGUUGUUUCUUUAACCAUCAGCUCCAGAAUUUGGUUUGGGUUAAGGAUCAGACAAGGAAAAAAAUUAAGGGAAGGUAGGUACAAUUCUUUUUUCUUUGCAAGUGAAAAAGCUUAAUUGAUUAAGCUUCUUUUCUUAUUUUACUUCAAUUUUUUUCUUUCAUUUUCCUCGUAUUUUCUCAGGAUUCAAUCCAAACUUGUAUCUCUAUUACCAAUCUAACAGUGGCUAUACUAAAUGUAAUAGGAAAUUAAUAAAUAAACUUGCCUGUUUCCCAACAGCUUAUGAAGUCUAAUCAUGAGAUCGACUUCAUCUGAUGCAAAUUUUCCUCUCUUAAUAUUUGGCUUUAAAUAGUUGAACCAUCUCAAUCUACAGCUUUUGCGGCAUCUACUCAAACCUGAAAAGGCAACUCUUCCAGUUAGGAAUAUUUAUUUAAGCAGGAAAAAAGUUUGCAGGCUUCCUCUCAUACGUAUAUAUUACCUGCUCGGAGUGGAACCAAAUGCCAUUUUUCUUCUCCAUAUUUCUCAACACAUUUUCUUAAAAGAAAAUCUUCUUCCCGAGUCCAUUUUCCCUUUCUAACUCCCAAACUCUCCAUAGCUUUUCCUCAACUCUACGUAGAACAUAUGCAACUUGUCCGAUUAAUUUAAACACUUGGUAUGUACUUCUUAUGAUUUGCGUGCUUUCAUUCCAACCACAGAACUCCAAGUAGUACUGAUUCUUAAUUAAGUGACAUGAGCUGGUUGGUAGCCUUAGUAACAACAGUGUAACAGCCACUUCAGUUUAAACGUGCAGUCAUUCUUAAGCCACAUAAGCCUUAGUAACAAUUCAAGCGUGUAAUUAUAUAUAUAUACACACAACUUGGGAUGUACUUCAUAUGACUUACGAUGCUUGUAUUCCAACCACAGGUCCCUAAGUACGGAUUCUUAAGUGACCCAAUGUUUUUUUUUUAUUCAUUUGAUGUGGAAUACAAAAGAAUUAAUUGAUUAAAAGAAAUUAAAUAAUCAUUAUAUUUAUAAAUUUAAUCAUUCCUUGAUUUUACUUGAAAAAUAAUAUAUUAUUGACAUAAAUGUCACUUAUCAUUUCAAGUAUUUAUAUAUAGUUUUAAAUGAAAUAAUUGUUUUUACAAGAAAAAAAAAAGAUACUUUUAUAAAAUGAAAAAAAAUUAAGGUUAAAUUUAUAAAUUUGAGUUUUUAAUGACCCUUCUAAUCAAAUACUCUAAUACAAAGUCAUCUGUUAUCAUUUCCUCUCUACAACUUCAGGUUUGUGCAUCCUGACUUUGUAGUCUCGAAUAUAGGCAUUAGAUAUCUUAUUUCUAGUCUUAGAUUUAGGUAUAAGGUUGGAAUUAUGAUAAGUGUUAAGUUUCUGGGAUUUGUUAAGGAGAUUUGCACAAUAUUUGUAGAGUUAUUAUUAUUAUUAUUAUUAUUAUUAUCUUGGUUUUUGUUUGCUUGAAUUAUUUGAUUGAUUGGUCAUACCUAGCUUUCUAGCAAGUUUGUUUCUAGUACGGUCGUUUUACCACUCUAGAGACAUGCGGGCAAGACAUAAAAGUUCUAGAUAUUCUUCGAAAUCUGUAUUGCAAUAUCAGGUUGAACAUUAAACAAAGAGAUAGUCACUGCAAUAGUAAGUGUGUGCUGACCAACGUUUUAAAAAUCCAAUCGGACCAGCUGGUCCGAUCGGUCUGACCGUUGAUCGGUCAUCAGUCCAGUUCGAUUCACCCCUUUGAACCGGCCAACCUCUGAACUGUCAUCGAACCGACGGACAGAUUGGUCCGACCAAUUUUUAUUGAACCGAACAAUUCAAAUGAAUUUUUUCCUUGGCUUCCAAAAUGAUGUCUUCCCUUUCUUCUUCGUUCUUCCAGAACGUUCUCCCCCGCCCACAGUUGACCGUGACUCAGUUGACCGUGACUCAAAAUACAUUCCAACAACUGAUGAAGAUGAGGAAGUAGAGUAUGAAUGCAAGAACAACAUUUGAACUUAACCCCAAAGAUUGAAAUUGUCUAAAUCAGAUCAAAUGAUUUACUUGUGUUGGGUGUAUCCCAAAAGCCCACAUCAAAUGGAAAAUCACCCUCACCUCCCUGGACUUGUUCCACCAUGCCAUCCAUGGUUCCCUUUGUCUCUGUUGCAGUUUGUUCGGCCCAGAGGCUUGAGAUACGCUCCCCUCCAGAGCUACAAAUCGAAAAGUCAGUUUCUUGAUCCAUUUGGGCAUGCCCAGAUAACAGGCUUUCCCACCAUGCAAUAUCAUCAUUUGGCUGUGGUAACUUGGAUGAUGGCUUACUAGAUGUACUUGUUAUUUCCACAUUAAAAUUAAGUGGGUGGCCCACUAACCUAGUAUUUAGCCGAUUAAAAGAAUACCUAAAAUAUUUAAACUGUUAUAAAGAUAUUUACCCUUUGAUGGAGUGGGUAAAUUAUUAUAAUAAUAAUAUUAUUAUUUGGAAUAAAAAACAGUUAUUCGAUCGAAUAACACGUUCAUAAUGGUUUUUGAACGUGUAUUCUUGACCCUCUUCUCUUAUCAAUAAGAUAUAUAUACAGAAACCCCUUCAUGUGCGGUGAGUGCUCUCUUCCAUCAAUUACAGAAAACAAUUCUGUGUAUUAAAGUUUGAUAAGGAGAAGAAGAGAUCAAGGAUUUAAGAUCUAUAAACUGAAGGGAAAUCUCUCAUAGCUGCGUGUUCUUCAAACGGUAUGUAAUCUAUUUUAAUUAAUGUUUUUAUUAUUUUAUUUUUCAGAGAUGAGUUUGAAUUCAAUGAUCUGGAAUAUUGUGUGUUAAUUUCUGUGUUAAAUGUCAACAAUUGGUAUCAGAGCAAGGUUGAAUUCAAAUAUUCAGAAUCAUUGUUUUAUAAAGAUUAAAUUUUGAGAUUUAUCAUCGAUUAAUUCGUCUCACUAAAAUGAAUAAAAAAAAUAAUAAUUAAACAAAAUAAAGACCAGCCUCAAUGCGUAGAAGGAAGAUUUUUAUUUUUCCUUGCAACGCCGAUUGGAGCAAUGCCGGUGAGGGGCGCUGGUUUGGCCGACUGGUUUGGCGUUAGUCCGGUGGCCGGUUUCAGGCGCCAGUCAAGGCGCCAUUGCCUGCGCCAUUGAAGGUGCCAUCUCACUGUUUUCAGGCGCCAAUCCAGGCGCCAUUGAAGGCGCCAUCUCGACGUUUUCACGCGCCAGUCUAGAUGCCAUUGCCGGCGCCAUUGAAGGUGUCGUUUCUCCAGCUUUCCGACGGCAGUGAAGGCGCCGUUUUCAGGCGCCAUCUCCAGGCAUCAGGCGCCGUUUCUCAGGCGCCAUUAGAGGCGCUGGUUGCAGGCGCCGUUUCUCAGGCACCAUUAGAGGCGCUAUUUGCAGGUGUCGUUUCCUUCUUCAAGGGCCAUUGGAGGCGCCGUUUGCAGCGCCGUUUCAGGCGCUCUUCAGGCGCCACUUUUCAGGCUCUCCAAAAGUGCCAUUUCAGGCGCUAAUCCAAAGAUCUUAAUUGAUUUAUUAUUUGAUUUGAGUCUGAACCUUUGUGAAAUUAUUAUUAUGUCUGAGGAAUGCAAGUAUUAGCUUUAGUAUAUUCAAUGAAUGCAGAUUUCUUUGAUUUUAUUAUGAUUGAUUAUUGAAUCAGAUGGUUAUUAAACAUACUAUUUCCUUGAUUUUUUAACUCAAAUAAAAGAAUUAAUUUCAUCUUGUGAAUAUUUUAUCUAAAGACAAUUUAUAAAUGUAAGGUUAACUAGUUUAGAUUAUUGCCAAAGCAACCUAAAUUAGUGAGCCUUGUAUUUAUUGAAUUGCAUAAAAGAAUAAAGGGAGACUUGUAAAAUUCUUAAUAAUUCUCUUUAUAAUUAGGAGAAUGAGACUAACCCAAAGGAGAGUCAAUUUCUGCUAAUUAUUAAUUAAUGUUUUAUUUUGUGUUGCUUAGAAAGGUAAAAUGGAUACCCAAAGGUAACAUAUAAAUGACACAAAAUAGUAAAGUAUUUUAAGCUCCCUCCAAGUGAACACUGGAUAUGUUAAAAUUUACCCAAAGGAGAAUUUUAAUGAUAUCAAUAGUUCAUUGCUAUUUAUUUUAUACUUGAGGCCUUAUUGUGAGCAUUGUUCUAUUUUGUACAGUUCCCACUUCAUUACACUCUCUUGCAUCUGGAAUGGCUGUUUUUGAUGGGUCGAACUUUUCUGAAUGGUAUGAAACAAUUCUCACUGGGCGUAUUGGAUCUUGACCUGGCUUUAAUAACGGAUAAACCUCCUGAAGCUACGGAUGACAGUACUCCGGAGCAGGUGGAACAAUUAAAAGCCUGGGCAAGAUCCAACAUACUCAGUUUUAUGUUUAUGAGAAUGAUUAUUGCCAAUAAUAUCAAGACCUCUCUCCCUCAAACCGAGUUUGCCUCGGAAUUUCUGAAAUCUGUUGAAGAGUGCUUCAAACGCGCUGAUAAGUCCCUUGCAGGCACAUUGAUGGCUGAAUUGACUACCAUGAAAUAUGAUGGUCAGAAAGGUAUUCAGCAACAUAUUUUAAACAUGACUGAAAAAGUUGCAAAGCUUAAGGCGCUAGGCAUGGGUAUGGAUGAGUCCUUCUUGGUACAGUUUGUCCUUAACUCACUUCCAUCACAGUUUGCUCCAUUCAAAAUCCACUAUAAUACUAACAGUGAUCAGUGGAACUUGAAUGAGCUCACCAGUAAAUGCAUACAAAAGGAAGUGAGAUUAAGACAAGAAGGACAUAAUCUUGCCCUUGCUGUAACUCAUGGAGUCAUGAAGAAGAAAGGAAAAUUCAGAAAAGGAAAGAAGUUUCCACCUAAGAAAAGCGGACCUGGGGAAGGUAGCCAGAGUCAUGAUGGAAAAUUCACGGUAAGUUGCUACUUUUGUGGCAAGAAAGGGCAUGUGAAGAAGGACUGUAACAAGCGUAAGGCUUGGUUCGAAAAGAGAUGUAUAAAUCUUUCUUUUGUAUGUUAUGAAUCCAAUCUUGCUGAAGUUCCUUCAAAUACUUGGUGGAUUGAUUCUGGAGCCACAACUCAUGUGACUAAUUUAAUGCAGGGAUUCUUUACAACUAGGAAACUAAAGGAAAGUGAAAAGUUCCUCGAUAUGGGAAACCGUCUCAAGGUUGAAGUGGUAGCUGUUGGUACCUAUCGCUUACUAUUAGAGACGAGUCAUCGGAUGGAUCUUUUAAACACUUUUUAUGUACCUUCUAUCUUUAGGAAUUUAGUUUCCUUGUCCAAAUUAGAUGCUACUGGAUAUUCUGUUUUAUUCAGUUUUGGACAAUUAAGUUUGUUGUUAAAUUCUGUUACAGUUGGUUCUAGUAUUUUAUGUGAUGGUUUAUAUAAAAUUUCCUUGAAUCAUGAAUUUGCACAAGCCUUGAUAACCCUGCAUUCAAAUGUUGGUUCAAAACGUGGCUUAAUUAAUGAAAAUUCUUCAAUCUUGUGGCACAGAAGACUAGGGCACAUCUCUAGGGAAAGAAUUGAGAGAUUAGUGAAGGAAGGAAUUUUACAAAAUCUUGACUUAACUGAUUUUCAUGUAUGUGUGGAUUGCAUAAAGGGAAAGCAAACUAAACAUACAAAGAAAUGUGCCACAAGAAGUAAUGAGCUUCUUGAGAUAAUUCAUAUAGAUAUUUGUGGACCACUCUCUGUUCCAUGUUUUACAGGAGAGAAAUAUUUUAUCACCUUUAUAGAUGAUCUAUCUCGUUAUGGUUAUGUUUAUCUAAUGCAUGAAAAGUCUCAGGCCAUUGACAUCUUCGAGAUGUUCAUAACAGAGGUCAAGAGACAAUUAGAUAAAAAGAUUAAAAUUGUGAGAUCAGAUCGAGGUGGUGAACAUUAUGGCAGAUAUGAUGAAUCAAGACAAAAUCCUGGUCCUUUUGCCAAAUUCCUUGAAAAGCGUGGCAUUUGUGCUCAGUACACAAUGCCUAGUACGCCACAGCAGAAUGGUGUUGCUGAAAGGCGUAAUCGCACAUUAAUGGAAAUGGUUAGGAGUAUGAUGAGUUACUCUUCUGUACCUAUUUCAUUGUGGGGUGAAGCCUUAAAAACCGCAAUGUAUAUCUUGAACAGAGUUCCUAGUAAAGCAGUUCCAAAAACUCCUUUCGAGUUAUGGACUGGUAGGAAACCUAGCUUGAGACAUAUACAUAUAUGGGGUUGUCCAGCGGAGACAAGAAUCUAUAACCCACAUGAGAAAAAUCUUGAUGCAAGAACGAUAUCUGGAUAUUUCAUUGGCUAUUCGGAUAAAUCGAAAGGGUACAAAUUUUACUGUCCUAACCACAAUGUGAGAAUAGUUGAAACCGGUAAUGCCAGAUUCUUAGAGAAUGGUGAAAUCAGUGGGAGUAAUGAACCAAGAAAGGUAGAUAUUGAGGAGAUAAGAGUGGAUAUCCCACCACCUUUUUUAACUCAAGAAAUUAUUGUCCCUCAACCUGUUCAACAAGUUGAGGAAAAUGAGCAACAUAAUAGAGAUGGUUCAUUACUACCAGAAAAUAUUGCCAUUGAAAAUGUUGUAGAGCCACCACAACCGGCACCUUAGAGGAGAUCUCAAAGAGAAAGGAGACCUGCCAUUACAGAUGAUUAUGUGGUGUAUCUACAGGAAUCUAAUUUUGAUAUUGGGAUAAGGAAGGAUCCGGUUUCGUUUUCACAAGCCAUGGAAAGUGAUGAUUCUAGUAAAUGGAUGGAAGCUAUGAAUGAAGAGUUGAAAUCUAUGGCCCAUAACGGUGUCUGGGAUCUCAUCGAAUUGCCUAAUAGUUGUAAAUCCGUCGGCUGUAAAUGGGUCUUUAAGACAAAGCGCGACGUUAAAGGCAAUAUCGAACGAUUUAAGGCCAGAUUUGUGGCCAAAGGUUUCACUCAAAAGGAAGGUAUCGAUUACAGAGAUACCUUCUCUCCAGUUUCCAAGAAAGAUUCACUUAGAAUCAUCAUGACACUUGUAGCUCAUUUUGAUUUAGAGUUACAUCAAAUGGAUGUGAAAAGUGCAUUCUUAAAUGGGAAUUUAGAUGAAGAUAUCUACAUGGAACAACCUGAAGGGUUUGCAAAGAAAGGAAAUGAACACCUAGUUUGCAAAUUAAAGAAAUCCAUUUACGGUCUUAAACAAGCUUCCAGACAAUGGUAUAUUAAGUUCAAUAAUACCAUUACAUCUUUCGGAUUUAAAGAGAACAUUGUUGAUCAGUGUAUAUAUCUGAAAGUUAGUGGGAGCAAGUUUAUAUUUCUGAUACUGUAUGUGGAUGAUAUUUUGCUUGCUAGUAGUGAUCUUGGUUUAUUACGUGAAACCAAGGAAUAUCUCUCUAAAAACUUUCAUAUGGUUGAUAUGGGUGAGGCAAACUAUGUUAUUGGCAUCGAGAUCUUUAGGGAUCGAUCUCGAGGAGUACUAGGUUUAUCUCAGAAAGGAUAUUUUGAUCGAGUUUUAGAAAGAUUUAAUAUGCUGUCAUGUUCAUCGGGUAUUGCACCUAUAUUGAAAGGUGACAAAUUAAGUAAAAUGUAGUGCCCAAAGAAUAACAUGGAAAGGGAGCAAAUGAAGAAAAUUCCUUAUGCAUCAGCUAUGGGAAGUUUGAUGUACGCUCAAACAUGUACAAGACUGGAUAUCAGCUUUGUUGUAGGCAUGUUAGGAAGAUACCAAAGUGAUCCAGGAUUCGAACACUGGAAAGCUGCAAAAAAGGCGAUGAGGUACUUACAAGGGACAAAGGAUUAUAUGCUCACAUAUAAAAGAUCAGAACAAUUAGAGGUUGUCGGUUACUCGGAUUCUGAUUAUGGUGGUUGUCUCGAUAGCUUAAAGUCAACUUCAAGAUUUGUCUUUAUGCUAGCAAAUGGGGCAAUCUCAUGGAAGAGUGAAAAACAAUCAAUUACUGCUUCAUCCACGAUGGAGGCCGAGUUUGUUGCUUGUUUUGAAGCUUCAAGUCAUGCUUUAUGGUUGCGGAAUUUUAUCUCAGGGCUUGGUGUUGUCAACUCUAUUGCUAAACCUUUAAGAAUAUAUUGUGAUAACACCGCAACUGUUUUCUUCUCUAAGAAUGACAAAUUUUCUAGUGGAUCGAAACACAUGGAUUUAAAGUAUUUAGUUGUUAAAAAAAGAGUCCAGAAACAACAAGUGUCAAUUGAAAAUAUUAGGACCACACUUAUGGUUGCUGAUCCAUUAACUAAAGGAUUACCUCCAAAGGCAUAUUUGGAACAUGUUAUGAGGAUGGGCCUUUUGACUAAUCCAUAAUAUGUAUGAUAAUGAAUGGUGGUUAUGUAAUUGACAAUUUGCGCAUUAAAAUUGUUUAUGUUUAUUCUUAUUUUCAAUUAUGGGUGCACGUUUUAUUGUUUGAUAAACAAGAAUUGUCUUGACAAGACAAAUUACAAGGGCUAUUUGGCAUUAAGGACUGAGUUAGUAAGGGUUAUUGAUGUGUGGUGCAUGGAAGGAAACAUGACAUUAUGGUUAUGUGACCGCCAUGACUCGCAUUUAUGAUCUAAACUGAUUCAGUAUUAUGGUAUAUGAUUUUGGACGUAUUGGCGAAGUUUAUUGAAAUCGUGAUCACAUGUCAAAUUUAUUUUCCAGUAUAUAUUUUAUGUAUAAAAACUAAAUAUAUUAUAGUUUUCAUAAUCGGUUUAGUGGGCCAAGUGGGAGAAUGUUAUUUCCACAUUAAAAUUAAGUGGGUGGCCCACUAACCUAGUAUUUAGCCAAUUAAAAGAAUACCUAAAAUAUUUAAACUGUUAUAAAGAUAUUUACCCUUUGAUGGAGUGGGUAAAUUAUAAUAAUAAUAAUAUUAUUAUUUGGAAUAAAAAACAGUUAUUCGAAUAACACGUUCAUAAUGGUUUUUGAACGUGUAUUUUUGACCCUCUUCUCCUAUCAAUAAGAUAUAUAUACAGAAACCCCUUCAUGUGCUGUGAGUGCUCUCUUCCAUCAAUUACAGAAAACAAUUCUGUGUAUUAAAGUUUGAUAAGGAGAAGAAGAGAUCAAGGAUUUAAGAUCUAUAAACUGAAGGGAAAUCUCUCAUAGCUGCGUGUUCUUCAAACGGUAUGUAAUCUAUUUUAAUUAAUGUUUUUAUUAUUUUAUUUUUCAGAGAUGAGUUUGAAUUCAAUGAUCUGGAAUAUUGUGUGUUAAUUUCCGUGUUAAAUGUCAACAGUACUAACUUGCAUGUCAAAAGCAUCCGUAGCUGUAGUUUUUAGUUCAAACCUUGGCGAUAAUUUGGAUAACUUGUAGGGCCGAGGCUUUAGAACUUUGGUUUUAGAAUGUGUUUGGGGUUUAUCUCUCCCUUCGUCCGGGAAGUGAACCAUCUUUUUAAAGCGGUGAGUAUGCCAGUAAUUCUUGACAUCAUUAGCAGUCCUCCCUGGAAGUCUGCCCGCGAUCAAGGACCAUCUAUACAAGCACAGCAUGCAACAGAUCAACUAUCAAGUACAAGCACCACAUGGAGGCUUUUCUAAUUUGGAAUAUAGCUUCAGAAUUGAUAUAAUAAUAUCAUGUUACCAAUAUUAUGUUCCUUUGAUGAGUCAAAGCUGGUGCCCUUCUUCCUUUCCUAUUUUUUUCCUUGGAUAAGUCAACCCUUCCCAUUCCACUUUUCUUCAGGUGUUUGGUCUAAGACUCUAAAAUCAUUUUUAAAUUUUGAUUUUCUCUAUUGAAAAUAAUAUUCAUUUUUUCCUUAUUUUUUAAAAUCUACUUAAUUAAAAAAGCAAAAUUUAUUUUUUGAAAGUACAAUUCAUUUAUUCAUUAUUUUUUCAUUUUCUUUAUUAAAAUUUUAUUUUAACAUCAUGUGUAAUUAAAUUAACAUUAAAAUAAAUUAAUUUUUAAUAUAAAAAUACAUUCAUCUAUAAUAAUUAAUAAUAUAAAAAAUAAAAAAUACUAAUAUUUUAAACAAUAUUGAUUUCAAAUAUAUAAUAUUCAUAAUAUUUUUAUAUUUAUAAUAUUUAUAAUUUUCAUAUCAUGAAUCUCAUUUUUUAUAUUUUAUAUUUUUGAACUUUUUUCUAGAAUAUUAAACCUAAAUUUUUAAAAAUAAAAAUAAAAAUAAACACCAUCCACAUGCAUAUUCUGUAUAGGUGGUAACUCAUCUUUAACUAGCUAGUUGGAAAGUAAUUUUAGAAGCAUGCAUAAGUUAUUAUUCUAAUACAUGAUUUGGAUAUUAUUUUCCCCAAUAUAUACUAUCCAUAAAACUCACUUUUUUAACUUCUUAAUUCAUCCAUAUUUUUAAAAUAAAGGACCUUUACAUGAUUCCCCAAAGUUUUUUUAUUGCAAUGCCGCAUUGCUUGGCUUCCAAAUAUACUGAAGUUCAUGGACAAGGAGUAUUGUUCAUAGGAGAUGACAAUUGGCAAGUAGUACAAUUAUUAACUCUCUACGUAAAUUUACUGUUAAGAUACAGUCCAAAUGCAGCCUAGGAAUUGCUAAACAUGUGGUUCAAAUGCAUAUCUUGGAUAGGGUUCAGGCAUCCUGUUAUUAUGACAAAUACAGCCAUGAUCUUCUAACAAAGCUGAGAUUGUGAUCGCUUUUAGGCAUCCUGUUCAUCUUGUAUUUGGGAUUCCAUCAAUUAAUUUCUUAGGAGUUCAAUCAUGCACUAAUUCUUUGAUAAAUAGGAAGAACGAAAAAUACAAAAUAAUUUAAUAAAAUAAACAUUUUCUUUAUUUUUAUUAGAUUCCUGCAUUUGAACUCCUGAAGAAUUCUAUUUAAUAAAAGAAAGAUAUAAUUUGAAACUCCAGACAAGUUUUAAGCAACAAAUUCUCAAUCCAUUUCAAAGGACACUGACACGGACCUCAACCACUACCAUUUAUAGCUGCACGAGUUAUGUUUAAGUUGGGACUUCUAAUUUUAAAAUUAGUGGGAUUGAAACACGUAGAGGAGCAAAAAAAAAUAAAGAAAAAGGAGAAGAUUUUAGCAAGGUUUAAUAAUUAGUGUGAUUUUUACGUUUACAAAGCACAUCAACACUAAAGAAUUCGUUAAUUAAACAAAGAAAUCCCGAGCACUGUAUUGAAAAUUUUGACAAAAACAUUUAAAAGACAACCAACAAAAAUCAAGAAAGCAACAUUACAUCACAAAGGUAUCGAAAAUUUUGAUACAUGAAAUAUUAGCUAGCAUAGGUUGAGCACAACUAUAUAUUUAAUAGAAUGACUUAAAAGUGUUUUCAAAGUCAAAUAUUCUAAUUGGGCUCGCUGUGAUGGGAGCUCAUUUUUUUUUCUUUCUUCAAUAAGCUAUGUAUUGGAUCCCAUGGGUGGACCAUCAAGGAUACUCUCCCCGAGUGAUUUAUCGUUUGGUUAUUACAAUUCUCAACCAUUAUUUUAUAUUUUUCUUUUUUAAAUUAAUCCUUAUACCAUCAAUUUUCACCAUUGCUUUCAUUUUCAAAAUCUAGUUUCUAAACUUUUUGUAUUGCACCAUCUUCAAUCCUUAAAAUGAAUUCUUGUGAUUUGAUAUUUAGCUCACCAAGUUCAAAUAUUACUUGUAAUUGACAACCCUAUGCUCAAAGUGAAUACCAUGCAUUAUGGAUGUUCAACCAAAAUUUUUAUGUUAUUAUUGGGGGAGCUUUUCUUUUUUUUUUCGCAAAUAAUAUGGAUUCAAAUAUACCAUAUUAAUUGUGCCUAGCAAUUUGUUCAGAUUUAUCCUUGGAUCUAUCAACAAUUUUAAAUGUCCUAAAUAAAAGGGUUUUGUUUUAAGGGACAGGUAGAUAAAUUGAAAUGAUUCUAAAUGCAGUGCGGAAAUUAUAGUCAACGGCAACCACGCGGGUGUCCUUGUCAAUAAUGCAGCAAGCGUACGUGUCGUCACCCUGUGCGGGAUUGGUACCAUGUGGGUGUCCUUGUCAAUCAAAGCCCAUCCUGCUGCCUCCUGUGCACCAUCUUGUACCAAUCCCCGUCUUAUGCAUGGUUGCAAAUUGUUGAGACGAUGACAUAUGAGACUGAUCAUUUAUUUAUCAUCAUUUUUCAAUGAAGGUACUAUUAUUAGGCUAUUGCUCUGGCCCAUGAAGUAUUUUGCCUCUCGCAAUAUUCUUUUCUCCACAAAAUAGCUAGAGAACUACGAGAUAUAUGGUAUUGCUACUUGACAAAAACAUUUUAAGUUCUUUUUCUGCUAUCUAUUUAAUGCUGGGUUCGUAUUCUCAGCCACCCAUCCCCUGCUUCUUUUUGAGUGAGUGAGAGAGAUCGGUCAGCGUCAUUAGAUUGGAUGAGUAUGGGCUUACUAGGAUCAACAAAAUGUGUGGUACCUGUUGGUUCCUGCUCAAUAAUGACCCUUUAAGCAGCCGCCCCAGCGCCUCCAAUUUUUUAAGCAGAAAAUUGUGUUUUCAACCCUUAUAAUUUGAUAAUUAAGAUAAAAUUAGAAUGGAUGAAGAGUUUUUAUUUUAAGUACUCAAUUAAAAUAUUUUUAAAUAAUUUAAUUUUAGAAGUGGAUUAUAUCAAUACAUAGUAUAAAUUGAAUUUUUCUUAUAUAAAAGGAUUGAAAGGUAUAUUUACUUAUUUUAGAUGAAAACAAGUAGUUAAAAAUUAUAUAGAUUACAUUUGAGUUUGGUUUUAAAAUAUUUUUCUAGUCUUUAUUUUUUUAUUUUUAAAAAUAAUUUUUAUUUUUUAUAUUGCCUCUUUUUGAAAAUAGCAUUUAAUUAAAAAACUGAAAACUAUUUUUAAAAAUGAAAAUUGAAAACCUUGUUUAGCAUUAUUUUUUUAUAUGAAAAUAAAAAUAAAUAAAUUUAUUUAUUCAUUUAUGUGAAACCAAGGUUUGGUUGUGAAACCAAGGUUUGGUUAAUCUUGAUUUUGAUGAUAACAAAACAAGGUUUAGAACUAAUGAUCAUAUUUCAAGUGUGAUUAGGCAAGACGACUUCCAAAGUGGCAAUCCAAAAACAAAUCAAGCCAAGGAGAAAUCAUGAAGAAGAAGACCACCUCAAAGAGAAGAGUUUUUUCAAGACCAAAACUUCUUAAGAUCUCCUUGUAAAGUUGUUGGUGCACUAGGACUUUCAUGCAUUUCAUUCUUUAUUUAUGCACCAAAAUCAUCUAAGAGUAAUAUUGUUUUAAAUAUCUUAAGAAUCGGAUGAUUUCAUGUUUUCAACUAAAACCUUGUGUUAAAUGAUUUUCAAACUUGUGUUAAAAUGUUUUAAGUUGAAAAAGGUUGAGUGUUGAGCCAAAAAAAAUGGCUCAACCGGUUCAAACCGUCGACCGGUUGUGCUCGUCCGGUCAAGGACCGGUUGAGGGAGGCCAAAAAGUUUUUCUCUCUCCUAGUGGCUUUCUCUUCCCGGUCAAGGUUGAACCUCAACCGGUUGAAGUCCGAUUGAGGCCCAACGGUCACUUUUCCUAACGGCUAGUCAACCGGUCGAACCCCCAAUGGCUAGUUUGGCUUUUUUCUUCUAUAAAAAGGCUUCAAUCUUCAUUGUUUUACAAGCUUAACCUUCCUAAAUCAUUCUUGAUUAUAUUUGAGCCUUGGAAGAGUGUUUUUGAGUGCACCAUUGUUUCAUAACUUGCAUAUCUUUAGUGCACCAUUCAAUCCUAAUUUUUCUUGUAUCUUUGAGUUUAAAGUUCUAUUACUAGGAUUUUUGUGAGAUCAUUAUUUGUAUAUCUUUGUGAGGAAUUUUCUCAAGUGAGGGGUAUCACUUGAGAGGUUGUUCAAGAGAGGGACAUCUCUUGAAGAAGUGUAAAGGGUGCUUAGAGCCAAAAGUCCAAGAGGGUGAAUUGGAACCAUAAUCCAAUUGUAAAGAGAUUGGAAGCUUGGUUGAAGCUUCAAGAUAGUGGAACCCUCACUCGGUUAGGAGGUUGAGGAGAGUGGACGUAGGCAAGGAAGUGCCGAACCACUAUAAACUCUCGUGUUUGCACUCUCUCUUCCCUAACUCUUUUAAAUUAUAUGCAAUUAUCUUUAUUUUGUUUAUUAUAUACUUGCAUAUAAUUGUCUCUUAUUUUUGCAUAGUUUAAAUUUGUGAAAAAGAGACCAUCACCCCAUUUACCCCCCCCCCCCCUCUAGGGUGAUUACCAUAGUUUGGAUUAGCCUCAAAUUCCUAACAAUUUAUUGUGUUACUAUACAAUUGUAUUACACUAAUCGUACAAGGGAAAUGUACUAAGUGUACAAAAGUGGACAAGGAUACCAUUUGUGAAAUAUUAUAAUUGAUUAUGAGUCAUUCCUUUAUUUUUCUUAUCACUCAUGUAUUGUCCACGUAUGUCAUGCACUUUAUUUAAUUCCUACAUGGAAAUUCUAAUACUUUUCCCAAUAAUGAUAUUUGGGGAAAAAAAUUUUGACCUUAAGUCAUCCACCAUCUUCUCAACUAAACCAUUGAAAAUAUGAUUAAACACUCCUACAUAUACACAUAAUUUAAGAGGGAUAUGAAAUUUGUGUUAUUAUACAAGGGUAUUACACUAACUGUACAGGGGAAAUGUACUAAUUGUACAAAGGUGCACAAGAUUACCUUUUGUAAAUGAUUUUAAUCAAUUCUAAACCACUUUUUUAUUUUCUCUAUCACUCAAGGAUUGUACACAUAUGUUAUGCACUUUAUUUAACUCUCACAUGAAAAUUCAAAUAUUUUCCCCAAUAAUGAUAUCUGGGGAAAAAAAAUUGAUCCUAAGUUAUUCACUAUUUUUUCAAUCAAACCAUUGAAAAUAUGAUUAAUACAUCUAUAUGGACAUAUAACUUAUGGGGGAUAUGAAAUUUGUGUCAUUGUACAAGAGUAUUACACUAAUUAUAUAAGGGAAAUAUGCUAAGUGUACAAGUGUACAAGGCUCCUAAUAGGUUUUGUACGAUUUUUAAACAACUUGAGUUUGACAUUAAGAUGAUUAUUGAUAGUUUUGUUUUGUUUUUUUUACCAAACUAUGUCAUUAAGACAUUCCUUACAAAAAUUAACACAUAGGAAAUAAAAUUAAAAUAAAUCAUAUUUGAAUUGUUCAUUAUAAGUAAACUAAAUGAAAUAUAUUUUUUUACUAUUUUGCCUUUAUAAACAUAAUUUUAUUGUUAUCAAUAGAGUUUAAAAAAUCAUAUUUAAAUGGAAUUAAAAAUAAACAAAAAUUAUUUUUAUAACAUUUUUUAUUUUUUUAAAUCAUUAAUUUAAAUUAUGAAAUUAGUUUUAAAAUUAAAAAUAUUUGUUGUAAUUAUAGUUUUGAAGAUUUCAUGAUUUUUAUCUUAUUACUUUGAAAAAAUUGCUUUAAGAAGAAAGUAUUUAUUUUAAUGGUUUUAAAUAUUUAAAUCUUUAUUAAAAAAUAUUUAGGAUUAGUGUGGAGAGCAAUUAGGUAAUUUUGGAAUGGAGAAAUUUUGAAUACUUUGAAAACUUUAAUUCGGCCAAUUACCUUAUUUACACUUUUAAAAUUAUUGGAAGGUUGGUAAAUUAGUCUUAGAAAUAUUGUCUUCUUGAUUAAUAUUAUAUAUAUAUGCAUGUGAGUGUUUACAUUAUUUUCGAAAUAAUAUGAGAAAUAAUAAACAACAUGUGUCUAAUUUGCAAGUUAGAAAAAAAAAUUAAUAAUACUUUAUGAGGUAUUUAAAAAGUAUUUAUUAUAUGUUCUAUAAAUUUGAAAAAAAAAUAUUCAUAAUAUCUAAUUUACAAGUUAGAACAAACAAAUAAUACUAAUAUUUUAUGAGGUGUUUAAAAAUUAUUUAAUAUAUAUGAGAAAUAAUAUAAGUUUGAAAAAAUAAUAAUAUUUGAUGAGGUAUUUAAAAGUUAUUCACUUCAAAAAUGUAUUUGACAAUAAUAAUUUUUAACUAUCUUUCAUAUUCAAUUUGAUGAAGAAAAAUGAUUCAACUUAGUUCCACUAUUAAAUAGGUGAGAAAAUGGUAAAAGAGUUAAAGAGGGAAUGAGAAAGGUAAAGUGAUUGGUUAGUUUUUUCAUUUAAUAGUUAAGGGUAUUUUGGGGAUUUUUUUUAAAGACAAUAUCCUUCCUUUCGAUUUCUACUAUUUCAUUGGGUUUUAAGUUUAAUUAUGAGUGAUAUUAUGACCUUACCUCAAUUACCCAAUUUAGCUGGCUGAAAACACAAUUCUCCAUUUUUUAUGAUUCUGCAAAAAGAUAUGUUUGGAUUUGUUUGGGCAAAUCUCUCCCAUGGCCAAGGCAACUUACAGGAUUUUUGAGGAAUAGAUUUAUGAGGGACCUAUUCUUUAUAUCUGCAUUUCUUGUCACAUUGUGAUUAUAUACGCCGAGCUUUAUAAUUUCCUUCAGGUCAUUAUAACUCCUUUUUAUCUUCACAUUUAGGACAUGUUUGGUACUUGGGAUGAGAAGUGGGAAUGAUCCUGUCAUCUCUUCCCAUGUUUGGAUGAUUCAAAUAUUAAUAGGAAUGGAAUUAAGAACGAUUCCAAAUAUAAUGAAAUCGAGUUGUAAGUGGGAUAUCAAUUCGUUAUUAGGAUGAUGUAUUUUGAUUCUUUAGUACAAGUUAUUUUUAAAAAUAUUUUUCAAAAAUUAAAAAACCAAAAUCUUUUUUUGGAUAAAUUGUUUUUAAAAAUAAAAUUUUAUUUUAUAUUGUAAAAUACAAUUUGUAAAUUCAAUUUAUAUAAUAUAAAUUAAAUUUAAUUCAAGUCUUAUUAAAAAUAAAAAUAUAUUUAAAUUUAUAAAUAAAUUAAAAAUUAAAUACUUCUUUAAUAAAAUUUUAAUAUUAAUAUUAUAAUAAAACCAUAAAUCAUAUAUAUAUAUAUAUAUAUAUAAUUGAAUAUCAACAUCUUAUAAAAGCAUAAUUAAUUUAUUUUAUUAAAAAUAAAUAAUAAUAAUUCAAAAUUAAUAACUUUUAAUACUAUUUUAUUUUAAAUGAAUUUAAAAACAAAUAAAGUUUAAUUUUUUAAAAGUAUAAAUGAGCUAAAUUUUUCAUUACAUUAGUAUAUACAUUUAUUACUCAAUUAUCGACAUGGUACUCUAAAUUUUUUUAUUUAAUUUAUAAUUAAUUAAUCAUUUUUUUAUUUCAAAUCAUUCUUACAAAUUAAAAGAUUCAUUAAAGAAUUUAAGUCUAUUAUUUUUUAUACUCAUUAUAUAUAGUUUUUGAGUUUCAUAUUAGCUUUAAAAAUUAUUAAAUUUAUUAAUAAAUUUAAUACAAAGUUUUGCUUGGUUUGAAAUCCAUUUCUCUAAUAAAAAGAACUCAGCAAAACAAUUCAUUAUUUUAUGUUUUUUUUUUCAAAAAAUAGAAAAAAAAUUACUUUUAGAUAACAAUAGCCAAAUAAUUAUAUAAUUUUUUUUUAAAAUUAUUAUUUUUAAAUCAUACGUCUCAAAUAGGUUUUCUAUUAUUUAGCCAAAAAAAACUCUUAAAGGUGUCUUUUAAAUAAAAAUUAAAAAUUAAUUUUAAUUAUGUAUAAAGUGAGAGGUUUUAUAAUGAAAAUAAAAAAUAUUUUAAACUAAAUAUACAAAUAUUACUAUCAAUUUAUUUCUUUUUUCAUUUUCAUUCUCGUACGUAUUUGGUAUGCGAGAAUAAGGAGUGGGAAUGAAUAUCUCAGUCAUUUUUUCUUUUAUUUCUAUAUUUGGAUAACUUAUAAAUAAUGAUGAGGAUGGAAUCAAAAGCGAUUGCAAUGAGAAUUAAAUCUCACUUAUAAGUGAGUUUUCAAUUCAUUUGAUUAUGAGGUAUUUUGAUUCCUUAAUGUAAGUUAUUUUUAAAAAUACUUUUUAAAAGUAAAAAAAAAAAAACAAAGGACUUUUUUAGAUAAGUUAUUUUUAAAAACAUUUUUUAUUUUGAUUUUAUAAAAAACACAGAUUAUAAAUUCAAUUUAUACAAUAUAAACUAAAUUUAAUUCAUGUCUGGUUAAAAAAAAAAACAAAUUUUUUAGUUACAAAUAAAUUUAAAAUAAAUAAUUUUUAAUAAAAUAUGAGAUGUUCAUUCCCGCUCCUACCAGUACCAAACAUGUCCUGAAAGUAGGUCUCUUCCAAGGCCCUUGGUUAGGAAAUCGACCAAAUUUUCUUUGGACUUGGACAUAUUCUAAAGCCACUGUCCCAUUAGAGAUGAGUCUUUUUACAUAUUUCCCAUUAAAGAUCUCACUAUAUACUCUGAGCAUUGCGGCAUGAUUUUCAUACCACACAAUGAUGGUUGACUCUGCCUUAUUCCAUAUCGGUACUUCUUCUGAUAUAUUCCUUAGCCACUUAGCUUUCUCUCCAGUAAAUGAGAGGGCCAUGAACUCAUACGGAAUUGUGGAAUGAAACCUUUUCUUGUAACCGUGGGAAUAUAUGAGCAUGGAUUUUGUACUAAGGUUGCCUAGACCACAAUGUAGGGUUGACACAAUUUUUGUGGCGUUAGAUCACUUCUCCAAGAUAGCUCACUUUAUUCCUUAUGAGAAUACCAUUGAUGCCUCACAAGUUUCUCAAUUGUUUUUCAAAGACACAGUUCGACUUCUUGAAGUUCCUUGGACCAACAGGUGACACAAGAUUCAUGAAUCAAUUUUGGCACACUCAAUUUAUAAGGACUAAACUACAAUUUUCAAGCACUUGCCAUCCAUAAACUGAUGGACAAUCAGAGAUGGUGAAUCAAACUUUGGGAAAUUUGCUAAGGAGUCCUACUGGUGGCAACCAUGAAAAGAAUAUGUUUUUUUUUCCUCAAUCAGAAGUCCUCUCUCUUGGUUUUUGUUUUUCUUCCUAAAACGACAGUCAAUACUUUUAUGUUGUGAAAAAAAUGAUUCUUAUAUUUAUAGUUUCAUUCAUGACUUGAAAUAAGAAAAUUGAUCAGUAAAACAACCAAUCAGGAUUCUUGGACAUCUUAAAAGGUAAUUCUGAAAACCUUAUUUUACAUCCGAGAUGGUUUAUGGAAAGAGUCAAAUUCAUAAUUUUAAUCAUUCACAUGUUCUAAAUCUAUGGAAGUGUAGCACGGAGGCUGAAGAACUUGCUAGUUAUGUUCUAAAUCUGAAGAGGUGAUUGGGUGAGGGUUUACUUAAGAAGGGAGUGUUUUAUACUAGGCACUUAUCACAAGCUCCAAUGCAAGAAUUUGAGUUUUGUCAGUGAACUACUACAGCUCAAGAUGCAAUUACGGUCAUUAAGAAAAGAAUCUAUGACAAUGAGUGAUUACUUUGCUAAGAUGGACGAUAUUGCAGAUCAAUGUGCAAUGGCUGGUUGUUUUGUCAGUGAUGAAGAUUUGGUACUUUAUAUUUUAGCAAGUCUCGGAUCAGAAUAUGAUCCACUUGUAUGCAGCAUUACCACCUGUAAUAGUACUGAUCAUCUUUCUCUAAAGGGGAUUCAUGCUCUUCUACUCAAUCACGAAAGUAUAAUUGAGCAAUUGUAUGCAACUAAUUCAGAUUCACACCAUUUAUUUGCCAAUUUUGCUGCUCAUAAAAAUGGAGGAAAUCAUGGUCGUGGAAAAGGAAAUUUGAACCCUCAAGGUCGAGGUAGAGGAAGAAAUGGAGGUUUUUCUAGUAGAGGCAAUGGCAAUAAACCUAUUUACCAAAUUUUUGGUAAAAAAGGACACAUAACCCUCACUUGUUGGCAUAGAAUGGAUGAGAACUUUCAGUCUACAUCAUCCGUUACUAGCAGCAACAAUUAUAAGACAACAGUCUACAUGGCCACACUAGAUACAAUGAUUGAUUCAAUGCAGACUUACUUCCGGUAGCUUUUGCCAUAACUUCUAGCAUCCAAUUUGGGUUACCAAAACCACCUCAAACCCCACUCUCAGAUGUUCAUACCUCACCUACCUCACAACCAUCUAUGUCUUUAUCUGCUCAUGCUCCAACUCCAUGUCACCCCAUGAUUACCCGAGCCAAAGCUGGCAUUUUUAAACCAAAAGUGUAUGCUGCCCUCAAACAUCCCUUGAGUUUCUCACAUGGUCCUAUUGAACCUAUGUGUGUAAAGCAAGCUCUUGCUUAUCCAAAUUGGAAGAUAUCAAUGGAAGAAGAAUACAAGGCUUUAAUGAGGAAUCACAUAUGGGACUUGGUACCUUAUCAGCCCCAAUAUAAUGUAGUGGGCAAUAAAUGGGUGUUUAAGUUGAAGUUUCACCCAGAUGGCACUCUUAAUAAACAUAAAGCUAGGUUUGUUGCCAAGAAAUUCCAUCAAACCCCAGGUGUGGAUUUUUCAAUAACUUAUAGUCCUGUGAUUAAACCUGCCACAAUUAGAGUUGUACUAACUCUAACAAUUGCUCAAGGAUGGGAAAUUAGGCAACUGGACAUAAAUAAUGCUUUUCUCAAUAGAUAUCUGCAAGAAGAUGUGUUUAUGUCUCAACCUGAAGGUUUCAUUCAUCCUACCAAGCCUCAUCAUAUUUUCAAACCGAGGAAAGCUCUCUAUGGUUUGAAAUGGGCUCUAAGGGUCUAGUUUGAUAAACUUAAAGAUGCAUUAUUGCAGUGGGGUUUUCAAGAUUCAAAGUCUGAUGUAUCUUUGUUCCUAUAUAAGACCAAAGGAAUCAUACUCAUGCUAUUGGUAUAAGUAGAUGACAUCUUGAUUACCGGAAAUAAUAGCAUAGUAAUUUCGGACUUGGUUCAUGACCUCAAUAAGAGUUUUCUUCUAAAGGAUGUUGGUUCAUUACAUUACUUCCUAGGAAUUGAAGCCUUUCGAGAUGAAACAGGUCUCUAUUUAACUCAUUCAAAAUACAUUGCCGACCUGCUUCAAAAGACAAAUAUGGAUACAAUAAAGCCCUUACCAACACUAGCUAUUUUUGGAAAAGUGUACUCCAAAUCAAGUAGUGAUCUAGGGAUAAUCCAAUCAUGUAUAGAAGCAUAGUUGGAGCCUUGCAAUAUGUUACAAUCACAAGACCUGAUAUAUCAUACAUGGUUAGUAAGUUGAGUCAGUUCUUACAAAGUCCAACAGAGAUACUUUGGAGAGCUUGUAAAAGAGUAUUACGAUAUUUGAAAGGAACUAUCACUCAUGGUUUGCAUUUCCAGCCAAACCAAUCUUUAAAUCUUGUGGGUUUCAUAUAUGCAGACUAGGAUAGCUGUCCAGAUGAUGGAAGAUCAACAAGUGGUUAUUGUGUGUAUCUAGGAGGUGAUCUUAUUUCUUGGAGCUCAAAGAAAUAAAGUGUUGUUGCUAGGUCUAGCACCAAAUCAGAAUAUCGAGGCUUAGCUCAUGUGACAGUUGAGGUGAUUUGGCUCAAGUCCCUAGCAACAAAAUUGGCCCUUCAAUUGAGAUUAAGACUGGCAAUCUAAUGUGAUAACCAAGGAGCCGCCUCACUAGCUGCUAAUCCCGUUUAUCAUGCUAGAACUAAGCAUAUUGAAAUUGAUAUACAUUUCAUUUGUGAUAAAGUACUUAAAAAAGAAUUGGAUAUAUGGUUUGUACCCUUAGUAGAUCAAAUAGUUGAUUUGUUUACAAAACCACUUUCAAUCACUCGAUUCUUGAAACUUAAGGCCAAACUCCAGGUGAAAGAAUCCUUCUUUUGUUUGAAGGGGCGUGUAACGACAAAUAGUGCACAACUGAAGAACAUAAUUGCAACAGCUUCAGCCAUGUCAUCCUCUCCGGAAGCUUCUGCCAUGUCAACUAUUAGCUAAAGAUUUGUUAGAUUCUAUUUUUGAUUAGUUAGCAUUAGCAAAUUAGUUAGCAAUAGAUUAGUAAGCAAAAUAGAACACUCUGCUUUUGUAUAUAUAUAAGUAGAAUAGAACCAACCUCUGUUUCAAGUAAUGAGAAACAUAAAUAGUUUUCUUCACACAUAGGAUUUGUUAUUUUUAUUUUUCUAAAAAUGUUAUAUAUUAAAGGAGACAUAAUAUUUACGGGGUUCUAUAAGAAUGUGUUAUCUAGAUCCUCAAAUAAUGAUUAAUCCAUUAAUUUUCAAAUCAAAACUACAAAGUAAAUUAAGAGAGCUUUCUCCACAUAAAUUGGUUAAAGCCUUUAAGAUUGGCAAAAACCACAAAGAUGGACUAAAGUUAUUCUAACAACUCUACCUAAAGUCAUUCUCACACACUCAAGCCACACUCUAACCAAAGGAAUUAGACUUCUUACUAGGACCACAAACCUUCAGAAAACCAAUUCCUACUCUUUGUAGUACAAAGACUCCUAACAUGUAACAAAUUAAUUAUCAAAUCAUAAUCCUUUAGGACAAAGAUUCCUAAAAUACAUCAAGUUUUUAAUUUUGUUAAAAAACAAUAAAUCUUUACCUUAAACAAAUUUUAAAUUUUCUUCCAACUUUCCAAAUUCAAAACAUUCUUUGAUAAGCGAACACUUACAUAUAUAAUCAGAAUAGUGCAAUUAUAAAGAUGUCUUAUGCGUGGAAUAUUGAAGCCAAGUCAACUGAAAUGUUGAUACUGGGUCAACUGAAGGUAGCUUCUCCAUUGGUUGUGAUAGUGGAAGCUUCUUCCCAACAACUGGAGACUGGGUCGACUUCUCCCUUACACAAAGGAUGUUCGGACAGGUUGUCCGAGCACACUCUCCGAAGCUCAAGUCAGGCACCAAAUGGAUAGGAACCUUUAGAAAGGAGAGUAAAUAGGGGAACCCUCUAGUCUUGCGUACCUGGGCUCUGUUUUAAGAGGAUUUUUAUUGUGCUCAAGGGGAAAAGCACUGUAGUGCUAAGUUGGCACCUUGACCUAAUCUGUAAUAAUGGAAGUGAAGAGAUAGAGGGUUAUGAGGAUAGGCUUUGAGAAAAAAAGUUAACGAUGUUUCAUAAUUGAGAACCUGGGUGGGCAUUCUAUUUAUUAGAUAACAUAGUAAGAACAACAUUCCCUUAGAGGUAUUUUGACAUAUUAUUUGUGAAUAUAAUGGCUCUAGCUACUUCUAGAAGGUGGUGAUCCUUUCUUUCAACAAUGUAAUUUUGUUGUGGGGUUAUUAUGUAGGAGAUUUGAUGAAUAAUGCCUUUCUUAGAGAGAGAACUUCCUAGAAUAGAUUUAAAAUAUUCUUUUUCGUUGUCUAUUUUGAGAAUUUUAAUGUUCGCAAUGUAUUGGGUGUUAAUCAUGACAUAAAAUUUUUUGAACACUCACUCUAGUUCUGAUUUUUCUUUCAAAAGAUAUACCCAACAAACCCAAGCGUGAUCAUCAAUAAAUGUGAUAAAUCAUUUUUUUUCAUUAAAUGUUUAACUCGUGAAGGGCCUUAAAUAUUACUAUGGACUAAUGAAAAAGAUGAUGAAGACUUAUUUUUUAGGAGAAUAAAUGAAAUGAACAUGCUUGGCUAAGUGACAAAUUUCACAUUCAAAGAAAUCUCCAUUAUGAAAUAGUGAUGGAAACAAAGUUCAUAAAUAUGAAAAGCUUAGGUGGCUUAGUCUAUGAUGGCACAACAUUAUUUUUUGUUCUUUAGAAAGAGACUUACAACUCACAGUUUGAGCUUGUUUAUUCAAUUCGACUUCCUUCUCAAAAUAAUAUAACCCCUCAUGUUCUUUAGCAUUGCCAAUCUUCUUCCCCUAAAUCAGGUCUUGAAACACAGAAGAAGACUCAAAGAAAUGAGCACCACACUUUAAAUCUUUAGUCAACUUACUAAUAGAAAGAAGGUUGCAAGACAAAUUUGGAACAUGCAAUACAAAGUGUGGUUCAAUAUUAGGACCAAUUCUAAUAGCUCUAGUUCUACCACUGGUGAAAGAGAUCUUUCUCCUAUUUUAUCUUUGAAACUUCCUAAACUAGGAUUAUAUGAUGAGAAAAUUUUUCAUAGCCCAUCAUGUGAUCUAUGGCUCUAGAGUCAAUCACUCAUGGUUCCAGAUCCCUACUACAACUACUAAGAGCUAAGAAAAAAUUACCUCCAUAUGCUAGUAAUAAAGUAGUGGUGUCCUGUGAUGGUUUGAGUAGUUUGUACAAUUUUUUCAUUUUUCCUUUGGUAAGCAAGAACUAUGUACGUUCUCCAAAUUUUACCUCAAGCUAGGACCCGAUUUGUUAGAAAUCUCAGCUAAAAUUUGAAAACCAGAGUGAUCUCGAUUUCCAACCCUACUGUCCUUUGAAUUUGGUGGCUUACCAUGUAACUUCUUGUAGCAAUCUUUAGUGUGAUUUGUUUUCUUAUAGAAAUCACACCAAAGAUUGUUUAUCUUUUACUUCUUAGGGCAUUCUUAACCACAAACUUUGAAACUUCAGGUAAUGAUGGUUUUGAUCCACCUAUCAUAACCCAUUUUCGGCUUGACUCUCUUUGAACUUCAACAAAUAUUUAAGUAAUCAAUGGGAAAGGUUUGAUUCCUAGAAGUCAACCCCUGACUUCAUCAAGAUCAGGAUUUAAUCCUACCAAAAAAUAUCAGACUCGUUCUGUUUUAACCUACUUUUUGUAAAGUUUAGCAUCCUUAGGAUUUGACCAUGGAAUUUGGACAUAAAGAUCAAUUAAUUUAUUGCCACAAGUGAGUCAAGGCAUUGAAUUAUUAGGUAACAUCCAACUCCCCUAGUUUCAAAUCACGGGCUCCAUUUCCAAGUUAAAAAAAUUGGGUUAAGUUUUCCAUGUCUAAGCAUGCUAAAGUUUGUGCAUCCCACAUCUCCUUAGCAAUGGAAUAAUAUAAGAUAAGAUUCCUUGAUAUCUUAUUUCAUGGAGUUCACAAUCAAUGCCAUAACCAUAGAGUUUCGUGCAUCCCAUGUUGGAAAAGAGAGAUUUCUUGGAUUAUGUUUUAUUAUUGAACCAUCCACAUAUAACUAAGGUGGUCUCAUCCUCAUAUCACCAUUAGAGCAUACGGAGACCAUUGAAGGAAACUUUGAUUAUUUAGUUUCGUGGUUGUAAUUUGAAGCGGAGAAUUUUCAAAAAAAAAGUUGAAAACGAGGCUAUAGUGGAUGAACUUGUAGGGAUGGGUUGAGAGACUUUUGAAAAGACCUCAAAACUAGCAUCCUUGCACUCACCAGUGAAGGUUGUUCUAUACAUCUUUUUGUCUCAACUGAUACUAGCUCUGAUACCAUGAAAUUGGGUAAGAAAAAAAAAAACAGACCGUAAAUUGGAGAUUGCUUUUGUUUUAUUAUUUUAUUUCUUCAAUACAAGUAGAUUUAUAGGAUAGGUUUUGUAACAACCAACCCUUUAUUUUAAGAGAUUGACACCAGCUAUUUUUUAGGAUAUUCUAAUCAACUAUAAUAUCACAACUAGCAAUUAUCCUUAUUUAGAGAAUAGUAAUUAUCCAAGAUUCUCUAUAAUCUAUUUCCUACUUACCCUUGGAUCUCUAUUUUCUUUACAAGAUGCCAACUAGUGGAGGAGCUUUUAGGAUAACAUUUUGGGACCUAUAAAAGCCCUCAUAUCCGUUAGAAAUGGAACUUUGGGUUAUUAGGGAGAAGGAAAGAAGUUGAGUUUCAUCUAGCAUCUCUAUUAACUCCUGUCUUUUCUUAAGCUUAGUAAUUUUUCGUUGCAUUAUUCAUAAGUAACUAGCCUUUGAUUUUAGUCUUAUUCCUCAAAGUUUUUUUUAGAGAUUUUGAGAACUUUAUGUUUCAUCAUGAUGUUGAUUUUAAUUGUAGAUUCUAAGAUGGUUUUCUUUGUUCUUCUAGUUUUGAGUUGUGAGUAGUUUUCUAAGCUUGAGAGGAGGAGUCCAUGAGACUUCUUUCAUGAAAAACUAAUUUACAUCAUGGGGUGAAUGGAUAGUGUUUCUACCUAGUAAUUGGAGUCCUUAUUUUGUUUGGGAAGAAACCCUAUUUUCCUCUUCUUGAAAUGGAAACUUAGAGGUGGUUUAUUUUAGUUUAUUUAUUUAAUUUUUUUUUUUUGGUUACUUCAAGUUCUUGAGGAUCUUAGGACUUUUGACUUGAAAUCACUUCCAUUAAGCUUUAUGUAAAAUGCAAAAUGAACUUAAAGAUUACAAUGUUGUGGAGGUAUUUAAAUAAAAUUUCUUUUGAGCUUUAGUUGGUAAUUUCUCACAAGUGUUUUCAGUUGUAGGUUUUUUUAUUGUGCAUUGGUUGUGAAAAUGAGCCUCAUUAGACUCCGAUCCUUAGCAUUUAAAUUUCUCUUUUAGCUAUAAAAUGGUAGGUUCAAGUGUCAAAAUUUUGUUAUUUUCUAUUUUUUUUUUCAUCAUAAAAUGUGAUUGUUCAGUGAUAUUCCAAUUUGGUCACAAACACUUAAUUUUUUUUGCGAAGAAACAGAAGAUUCAUAGAUCACAACUUUUAGUGAUGAGCUUUUAUUUACAAAUUUCAUGACAAAUUUUUUUAAAUAGUGGUGAUUUAUUAUUUAUUUAUGACAAAUACUUUCAUGACAAAAAUUGAUACUUGUUGUAGUGAGGUAUUUAAAUAAAAUUUCUUUUAGGCUUUAGUUGGGGAUUACUAAUGAGUGUUCUCAGUCCUUGGUUUUUUAUUGUGCAUUGGUUUUUAAAGAUGAAGCCUUAUUGGACCCCCAAUCCUUGGUAUUUAAAUUAAUUUGUUUUUUGCAUAGAUACAAAAUCAAUUUUCUUCUAUUUCUCAAAAUAUUUUUGGAGGUUCUCUAAUUUAUUAACCUCAUAUUAAACAAGCCUCUUUCAACCACUUAUUCAAGAGAAAAUCAUUCCCACUUUUGGAACUAAUUCACCACAUAUCUCCCCAUCUUUUGCUAUCAUUUAAAACACUCUUCUUGAGAAAACUAUACCUGAACCACCAUAUUUUUUACUUGCAAAGACUCCUCAUACUUAGGAAUUGGUACCAUCACAUUUGCAUUUCAAGCAAACACAUGAUAGUGUAGACCCUCAAUUUUAUCCCUUUAGCACAUGUCUUUAAGUUCACUUCCAAUGCUUCACAGUAGUUCCUUGGUGGCCCAUAGCUACUCAUACUACUUACAUUUUUUGAGCCACCUUGGAGACUUUGGUUGAGGGAUUUAUCUAACCCCGUUGUGACUCUUGGCAGCCUUAAUUUAGACUUAGGCCCACUUAGGCACCCUAGACCCAUUUAGAUACACUUGGCCCAUUAGGCAUUACCUUAGGCCCAUUUAGAUGCACUUGGAACCUUCUAGCUUGCACACAUUCACCCUAGGUUACUUAGUCAAUCUUUCAGAAUAGGUCACUUGGACACUUCUUUUGGAAUAGUUCACUUAGGCAUGUGCUUGAUUUUGGUUAUUUAUUUUUCAGGAUAAGAUGAGUGUUGGCUUGACUUUUUAUUACAUGAAAUGAAUUUUUUAUUCUAUCUUUAUUUUAUUUUUAUUUUUAUUUUUGAAGGUUUGAGUUUGACAUUUAAAUUAUUAUAAUCCGUUGCAUUACUUUAUUUUCUUGAUUUUUUUUAAUUGCAUACGUCUUAUAUUUUUUGUUAUACCCUUAUCGAUUUAUUUGUUUAUUUACUCACUUAUUCAUUUAUUCUUUAAUUCCAUGAAUUGACAUUUUGGAUUUUUGUGGCUAUGUGAUUUGAUUUUAUAUUUGAUUUUAUUCUAUUUCCAAUUACAUGAUUUCUUAUUUCAACUUUAUUUUAAAUUUUGCAUGAGACUUGGAGCCAUCAAGGAGAGGAGAUCACGACCAAAGAGGGAAACUUGGAAGGAAUCCGGGCUGCAUAUAGAAAGUGGGCAGAUCACGACUUUAAGAAAGAAUCCGGGCUGCAUAUGAUUUGUUUGAAGAAAGAAUCCGGGCUGCAUAUAGAAAGUGGGCAGAUCACGGUUGAGGCACAUCCGGGAGCAUAUGGAAAGAAGAUUAAAGGGGAUCUGAUCACUUACCAAACAAGAUACGACUGCAUCCUUGGGGAAAUCUCCAUGUGAGCCACACAUAAUGGGCUUCCCAUAUCCACGCGCAUGUAGGAAAAAAUGGAAAUAAGAUAUUCCAUAAGGAGUGGGUUGCCUUAUAAAUAAAGGAGAGAAUCCAAGCAUAAGAGGAAUUUUUUUUUCGAAGGGGAAUAGGCCGAAAGAAUUUUCAAACGGAGACUUUUCUUUUGGAGGGCAGAGAGGACACGAGAGCAAUUCUUUUGAGAAGACGUGUGAAGAACAUUGAAGAGCCGACACAUAACCAUAAAAAAGGGAGGAGCAGCCCACAAAAUCUCCACAAAUAACGGUUUAUAGGUAAGUGUACGCUUUCAAAUUUAUCUUUGAUUUCGUUUUGAUUCGUCCUUUUAGUCUUGAGUGUUUUAAUGAUUUUUGUUCUUUGAUUUAAUUAAUCCUAUAUAAUAAAUUUCUUGUUUUAAUUUCGAUUUAGUUUUAAUUUAUUUUUCUUCUUUAGUUUGGAUGUGUUUGUGGUUUUAAUUCUUUAGUUUAAUUUAUCCCAUUAGAUAAAGUUCCUUUUUUUAUUUAUUCCAAUUCGAUUUAGUUUUAAUUUAUCUUUUAUGUUUAGAUGUGUUUGUAGUUUUCUUUAAUUUAAUUGUUUUUAUUAUAAAAGUCCCUAUUUUUAAUUUUGAUCUAGUUCAAUUUUAAUAUAUUUUUUAUGUUUAGAUGUGUUUGUGAUAUUAAUUCAUCAGUUUAAUUAUUUCUAUUAGAAAAGUUUUGUUUUUAAUUUUGAUUUAGUUCACUGUUAAUCUACCUUUUAUGUUUAGUGUUUGUCGUUUUAAUUCGUUAGUUUAACUGUUCAUAUUAGAAAAGUUCUUAUUUUUAAUUUCAAUUUAGUUCAAUUUUAAUCUAUCUCAUAUAUUUGUGAUUUUAAUUCGUUAGUUUAAUUAUUCCUAUUAGUAAAGUUCUUAUUUUUAAUUUCAAUUUAGUUCGAUUUUAAUCUAUCCUAUAUGUUUUUGCGAUUUUAAUUCGUUAGUUUAAUUAUUCGUAUUAGAAAAGUUCUUAUUUUUAAUUUCAAUUUAGUUCAAUUUUAAUCUCUCCUAUAUGUUUAAAUGUGUUUGAGAUGUUAAUUCAUUAGUUUAAGUAUUCCUCAUAGAUAAAGUUCACAUUUUUAAAAUCCCAAAUUAGUUUAAAUUUUAAUUUAGCUGUUAGUUUAAAUAUGUUUGUGAUUUUAAUUCCUUAGUUUAAGUAAUUUAAGAGAUAAAGUUUAAUUUUAUUUUAUUUUUUUUUGGAUUAAUUUAGUUUUAGUUUAUAAUUUAAUUUGAAUGCGUUAAUGAUUUCAAUUCCUUAGUUUAAAUAAUUUGUGAGAUAAAGUUUACUUUCUUUAAUUUCAAAUUAACUUAGUUUUAGUUUAUGAUUUAAUUUGAAUGUGCAAGUGAUCCUAAUUAGUUUGAUUUUAAUUUGUUUUUAGUUUAAAUAAUCACGCUAAAUAAAGUUUGUGUUUUUAAUUCCAAUUACUUUAAUUUUAAUUCAUUUUUAACUUAAAGGCAUUCGUGGAUCUUAAUUCUUUAGUUUAAAUGAUUGUAUCAAGUAAAGUUUGAGUUUUUAAUAUUCCAAUAAUUUUAUUAAGUAGAAUUUAAUUUCAAUUCAGUUUGAUUUUAAUUUGUUUUAUAAUCCGAAGGUGUUCCUGAUUUUAAUUCAAUUGUUUGAUUAACCCUCUUAGACAAAUUCCAUAUUUUUAAUUUCGAUCUUAGUUUAAUUUUAUUUUGUUAAUUUAUUUAUUUGCUUUAGUUUAAAUAUAUUUGUGAUUUCAAUUUGAUAGUUUAGCCAAUCUUAUUAGAUGAUGAUGAUGUCCUUAAUUUAAUCUAGUAUUAAUUAUUUUUAGUAUUGAAUGUGUUUGUGUUUUUUAUUUCAUUAACUUUGAAUUUAAUCCAUUUAUAUCCAAUUUUGUAGUUGAUUAUAAUUUGGUUUAAUUAAUUAAGUCAAUCACGUGUAAUUAUUUUCAUGUUUUAAGUAUGGUAAUUUUGGCUUUGAUCUAUUGACAUUUAGUAUGAGCUUUAGGAAUUUUAGAUAAUUAAUCCAGUUAAUUGUAUGUCAUUGGUUUCAUACCUUCAAGAUUUUUGAACUUUGGUCUUUGAUUCAUCAUAUUUUGUUAAAAUGCUAAUUUACCUUAAUUAAUUCCAUAUUAUUAUCUCCAUAUGCUAAGUUUGUUGGCUUUAAUAUUUGAUUGGUUAUUUUUAUUUUAAUUCAUGUGCUUCUUGAAAUCUAAAUGUUAGUCUUGGGUAAUAUUUUGUUAGUUUGUUUUAUUAGGAAGUCAUAAAUUUGAUGCCUUAGUGAUUGUUAGUUAAAUUCUUAUUUUUUGAAGGCCACUGGAAACUCAUGAAGGUUGGUCUUACCCUCACCACUUUAAUUGACAUGAUUUUCUAAAUCUUUAUUUUGUGAUUUUCGCUUUCUUUUGUUUUGAUUGGUAUUUUGUUUUCUAUGUUUUAUUAUUUUAAAAAUUAAUUCCUUUUAUUUUAAAAUCAAAACCUUUUUCUCCGAAGACCCCUUUAAGAAAUUCUUUUUUUUUAAAAAAAAAAGAAGAAAAAAUUCAUUUAGAGUUGUUAGAAUAAAAAAACCCCAUUUUCUUAAAAUAAUAUGCAACCAUUUUUUGAUCGGUUUGCAUCUUUCUCCGUUUUUUAAUGAAAAUUUUGGUUUAAAAUCAGACACGAAUCCAAGCUUAUGGUCCCACAUAAAUGGGAUAAUUCCAGGUUAGAUUUGUGUAUAUCAAUCGGGGAAUUGGUGAAACCCCUACAUAAAAAAAAAAUAAUAAUAAAAAAAAAAUAAAAAAAUAAAAAAUCUUUUCAAAACUUAUUUUUGCUACCGUCUUUGUUGGUUGUUACAAUCAUAUCUAUUUUUUUUGGAAUUGUACAUAAGAUGUGUGUAAUAAUUGAUGAUUUCGUAUUCUUUGAUCAUUUUUGCUAUGCCAAUUAGUUAAGCAUGUUAGGGUUUCUUAUUUUACUAUUUAUUAUCUAAGCCCCCCCCCCCUCUCCUGCGGAAGCACACUAUGAGCUAUAUAUGCUAUCCAGGUACGUUCCCUAAUACCCACUUUCUAAACCCCGUGAACAUGAUUGUCAUUGCGUACUAUGCCCAUGCUUGCUAUCCUAUUUGAUUGCCUUGAUAUAUAUUUGAUGCUUGUUUGAUUAUCUUUGACAAAAACACAUGUUGUGAUAUAUUUCUAUAUUAACUUUUAUGUUUCAUGAUAUCACUUGAGAAGCCGUUCAGGUACGCACUUUGAUUCUCUCUUAUGAUCAGACUUUCUUAUUUGACAUGCUAUUUUUUGAAAUCACCUAGCCUACCUAGGUAUCCAUGAUCAACCAUUUAAUUGCCACGUUUCCCUCAACUUAGUCAGUAGAGACCUCUUUAGGGCUUAGAAGGGUGCUACCUCCUAGAGGUACCUUCCUAGUAAGUAACCUGAUUCCCGGACCUAGACUCGGUUUUUUCAAAGAGAUGAUUUUUCCAAAAAUUAUGGAGUCACAUUUUAGGAUUUUUCUUUCUUGUUUUAUUUUCCCUUUAAAAUAAAAAUAAAAUAAGUGGCGACUCCGACUUUUUCCAAAAUUAAUUUUUCACAAAUAGAAAAGCAAGUCUCACCGAUCGAGCCCGCAUGUGAAAAAUACGGGUCCACAAAUUGGCGACUCCACUAGGGAUUUUGAGGAUCAAGCUUGAACACUAAUUGAGAAAAAUGUGGCAUUUAAUUGGUUGAUUAGAGGGUACCCCUUUUUUAGGCAAGGUGAUCUGGUCUACUUGUUUGUUUAGAAUGAUAUCUUAACAUGUUUGAUUGCCUUGAAUGAUCACUUGAUUGCUUACUCACUUCAGCAUGAUUCACUCUCACAUAUGCUAGAUAGGACUUUGAUUGUUUGAUAUUUAUCUGCUUCGCAUGACUGCUUGUUGCAUAACAACCAUUUCUCUUGCGUGUUCGUAUGAUUGCUUGUCUUCAUUCACUAUCUCACUUUAGAUCUUAGGUUUUUCGGAUACACCCACAUCCUUCAUUGUGCACUUUAGAUUAUCCUUGAGUGUUGAGAGAUGGGAGAGCCUUCACCAUAAAGAAACCCCCUAGGGACGCGAGGAAGUGCAUGUGUGGAGGUGAUGACCACCUUGCAUGGAAGCACCCCGUCUCCUUGGAGGCGUGCAGAGGGUUGCGUACCACUGGAGGGUACGAUCGCUUCUGCUAGGGAUCCUUUAACCCACCCAUUUUAUCCUAUAGCCACCUCAACCUUGUAAGUUAACUUAGACCCAAUUAAGAUUUCAUUCCUACACGUGGGUGCAUCUGUGGACCUUCAGAGCUGCCUUGGUCAUGAUUGGGUUCGGUUAUCCCUUAUGUAGUCUCCUUUUGGUGUGAUCAGAGAUGAGUAUCAGAUUGAGUAUAUUUGGGCUUUACUUCUACGCACUUGUCAGUUGAUUCCUACAGAGUCACAUUCGUACCGCACCUUAUCCAGUGUUUCCAUAUUUGUAGGAGGGUUUACCUUGACCGAUCUGGAUUCACUUUUGUGGAUUAGAGUUGAAGGUAGAUUGACCAGAGUAUCAGACCAGUCAGAUUAGAGAUCAGAUCAGAGGGAUAUGGACUCACAGAUAGUUACCGUCGACCAGUUUGCCGCAGCCAUGGCUUCUAUCCAGGAGGCUAUAGCUAACCUUGGUCAGAGGAUAGAUGGACAACAGACCCAACAGGUCCCAAUUCAGGAGAAUGCCCAAUUCGAUACCACAGUACCGCCACCUCCUCCGCCCAGUUAGUCAGUACCAUAGGUUAUACCUUUCACUCUGCAUAGUCAGACCGAGGUUGCCCCGUUUCCUAUCACAUUGCCUAUCCCGACCUCAGAGGACCCACAUACACGUAUGGAUAAACUUGAGCAAAGGUUAAGACAGAUGAGGGCUUCAGACGGAGUUAUUACUUAGGAGGAUUUUGAUGGAGCACCGAUAGCCAGUUUGCUAGCCAAGUUUAGGAUGCCCGAGAUUGAGAGAUACACGGGCAUAGGCUAUCCUCACAUCCAUUUGAGGCUUUAUAGUACAGUUAUGAGGGCCCACGACUGGAUGAGGCCUAGAUGGUUAUGUUUUUCCCUAUGUCCCUGAGUGGUGCGGUACAGCGUUAGUUCGCUUCAUUGGAUGUAUCACACCGUAGGACUUGGGACGACUUGACCCGGGAGUUUUUGAGAUAGUUUGCAUUUAACACUAUCAUUGAUGUUUCGAGGAGAGAGUUAGAGGUUUUGAGAUAGAGGCUAGAGGAAUCAGUCACUUCAUUCAUCUCCCGCUGGAGGGAGAAGAUUUCACAGAUCAUUAAUCGUCCUUUAGAGAAGGAUCCGAUUAGCAUGAUCAUGAGGAGCUUGCAGCCUAAAUUUGCUAGACACUUGAUGAGAUUUCCCCACACGGAUUUUGGAUCUCUAGUACAGGGUUUGUAUGGUAUAGAGGAGGGCAUUGCUAGAGGAUUGUGGCCCGAGUCUUCCCAUACUGAUUCUAAGGGGAAGAAGCCUUUAGGAGGAUAGAGAUCAAGAGAUGUUGGUGCUAUCAGUUUAGCAGGGAUGAGACUUCCUAGACACUAUCAAACGGUUGGGCAAACUUUUGGAUUCUACUAACCACCAUCACCCCAUGUGUAGUAUAGGCCACCUGCUCCCUCCAGACCCAUUACUCCUACUUACCUACAUCCAGUCUCACAGCCUGCUUUUGUCACACAUGUUAUAGAGAGACCUCCUGCCCUAUACACCCGACCCCGAGCUCUGCAGACCACCACUUAUGUGUAGAGGCCAUCACAUUAGUUCGCUUAGUUAGGUAUGCCUUUGAGUCGAGCUUUUCAUAAGCUUAUAAAGGGUGGAUUAUUGACUCCAUUGGCACCCAAGCCAGUACCUCAGCCAGUACCGCCUCAUUUUAGAUUUGACCUACACUGUUCUUAUCAUCAGGGACCAGGACAUGACACGGAUCACUGCAACGCCUUGAGACAUGCUAUUCAGGAUUUGAUAGACCAGAGUUUAGUUAACUUGGGGCAGCCAAGUGUGACCACUAACCCUCUUCCUGCCCAUUCUACACACGCAGUGCUUCCAUCUCCAAGAGAUAUUCAUCACAUGGACCUUAUAGAGGAUGACAGUAUACAUAUGUUGAGUUGGGAUGAUGGGUUACCCGAGCAAAUUGUUUUGCAUGACAGUUAUGAGAUUGAUGGGGUUUCAUUGGGUUCUUAGGCCCCUACACCAUUCAGUUUGAUCCCAGACGAGGCACCAUUCCAGUUGACUCAUCCUACACCCUUGAUUAUUGGAUGUCAUGAUACUUUUGUCCCGUUCACUUUAUGGUCAGAGGAUGAUGAUUCGGAGGGAAGAGAGAUACAGAUUGUGACUUGUAAUGGAAAGAUAGCUCAGCUACUACCACUAGUAGUUAGACCAUUUGAGGGUGCAGCCUCUCAUGAGGAGGUUAGAAUAGAGGAUGAUGAAGUUUUGAGACAGCUACAGAGCACUCAGGCCCGUAUUUCUAUUUGGAGUUUAUUAACAUCAUCCAGUACUCAUAGAGAUGCUUUGAUUCGAGCCUUGAGUCAGAUCAGGGUAGAGACUACCACCACUCCAAAGAGAUUGAUUCAUAUGAUGAAGGCCGACAGGGCCACUUGCAUUGUGUUUUCAGAUGAUGACUUGCCACUUGAGGGUUCAGACCAUGUACGCCCUCUAUAUAUCACAGUUGGUUGUUCAAGCCAUAGAGUCCCAUCUGUCCUGCUGGACAAUGACUCAGCCCUGAAUGUCUGCCCUUUAGCCACUACUGUAACCCUUGGUUUUGCACCUUCAGAUUUUGGUCCUUUUGCUCAGACAGGCAGAGCAUAUGAUAGCACUAAGAGGGAGGUUGUGGGUACCUUGGUGAUUGAUUUGAAGAUUGGUCUAGCCACAUUCUCUACUUUGUUCUAGGUUUUGAGGAUUCCUACAUCCUUUAACCUGUUACUUGGUUGACUUUGGAUACAUAGAGCUGAAGCUAUCCCUACUUCCCUUCAUCAGAAGGUGAAGUUCAUUCAUAAUGGGCAGGUUGUCACAGUACAAUCUACCAGAGAUAUGUUAGCCUCUUCCGAGCCAGUACUUCAGAUUAGUCACAGUGAGGAUGACCUAUUUUUGACUCGAUUUACUUUUGAUGAAAUACAGACUCUCGAGAUUGAGGAUUUUCGUAAAGACUUUGUGGCUAUGUCAUUUGAUUAGCACAGUAGCAUAGUGGUUCUCGAUAUGAUGAGGGGUAUGACAUUUCUACCUAGUAUGGGGUUAGGACGACGCCAGUAGGGACCCAUCAAGUUUAUAGCUGCCAUUGAUCAUGAUACAACAUUUGGACUUGGGUUCAUUCCUACCGAGGUCGAUUACCGUUACAUGACGCGGCUGUGCAAGGAGAGGGUGAGGGCCUGUUUAUCCCACACACCAUUUGAUUAUCCUAUUCGACCCUAUAGGAUGAGUUUAGUCGACUACUUUGUCAGAGGACAAGAGAUUUGACCUCGUAUAGAGGAGAUUCACAGUAUGGUUCAUACAAAUAGAAAGAUUGAGCUUCAACAUCUAUUUCACCAGUUACAGUUGAGUAAUGGGGCUCCUGGCACUUCUGUUUCUAUAUCGAUUACUCCUACGUCUCCAGAUCGAGCUAGCAUGUGGUCUCUAUGCUUUCUAGAGGAGAUCACUGAUGAUGGAGUGAUUGUUGAUCCUACUGAGAUGAUUGAUGGAGUUGUGCCUCAUGAUGAGUACCGAGAUGAGAUGGACAUGAUGACCGUGAGCUAGAUUACCAGCAUUGUUUAGCUUAAGCCUGUUUCACCAUUUGAUAUGUUUGGGAUGUCUACCAUUGAGGUUCUUGAGAGGGCCUAGAUUAUUCCUGUUCCAGAGCUUCUAGAGGAUGAUAAUAGUUUGUUUGAGGGCUCUGUUAGCCCAGUUGAGGGAGCAUCCGACCUUAUGGACCCACCUCUUUCUUUUGAUGUUUUAUCGGGAUUUGUCUCCCGCUUUAACGAUGUUUUUGUUGCUUCAUUUAUGGAUUUGAGUAUUUUUUUAGUAUUCGCCUGCCUCUUGUGAUAGUACCUCUAUAUCUGCACCCCACUCACCCACUUCACAUAUAUUUGAUAUAGAUGAUGAGGUUGCACAACCCAAUCCAAAUAGGGACUCUUCUGAUCAUGACUCCGAUCUCGUGGAUGAGAAAGUUUCACCUGCUACAAGGGAUGUUGAGAAUGUUGAUUUUGGCAUAGAGGAUCAGCCUAGAGAGCUGAAGAUUGGUUCACCCCUAUCUACAAAUGAGAGAGAUAGACUUAUUCAUUUACUCAGGUCAUACUUGGAUGUCUUUGCAUGGUCUUAUGAGGACAUGCUUGGUCUUGAUCCCUCUAUAGUUCAACACCACUUACCUAUCCUACCACAUGCCAAACCAGUUAAGUAGAAAUUGAGACGAUUACAUCCACGUUGGAGUCUGCAGGUGAAAGAGGAGAUUCAGAAACAGCUCAGUGUUGGAUUCAUAUCAAUGGUUGAGUAUCCAGAGUGAUUGGCUAAUGUUGUCCCUGUUCCCAAAAAGGAUGGCAAAGUUAGAGUUUGUGUUGACUUUAGAGAUCUUAAUAAAACCAGCCCUAAAGAUGACUUUCCUCUCCCACACAUUGAUUUGUUGGUCGAUAGCACUGCAGGCCAUUCGCUGUUAUCUUUCAUGGAUGUGUUUUCAGGGUAUAAUCAGAUUUUGAUGACUCUAGAGGAUAUGGAGAAAACAACCUUUAUUACUGAGUGGGGUACCUACUGUUACAAGGUUAUGCCAUUUGGGUUAAAGAAUGAAGGAGCCACUUAUCAGAGGGUCGCUACUACUUUAUUUCAUGACAUGAUGCAUAGGGAUGUUGAAGUUUACGUGGAUGAUAUGAUUGUGAAAUCCCGAGGCAGAGUAGAUCACCUAGAGGCUCUAGAGAGAUUCUUUGAGAGGAUCCGAAAGUUUAGAUUGAGGUUAAAUCUUAAGAAGUGCACCUUCGGAGUGACUUCUGGGAAGUUAUUGGGACAUAUGGUUAGUGAGCGAGGCAUAGAGGUCAACCUAGAUAAAAUCAAAGCCAUACUUGACAUGCCUGCACCGAAGACUGAGAAAGAGAUUAGAGGUUUUCUGGGCAGAUUAUAGUACAUCAGUCGUUUCAUAGCCAGAUUGACAGACAUAUGUGAGCCUAUCUUUUGUCUUUUGAGGAAGAACCAACCAACAGUUUGGAGCGAUGAUUGCCAGCUUGCAUUUGAGAAGAUUAAAUAGUAUUUGCUUUCUCCUCCUGUUUUAUUGCCUCCUACGCCAGGACGUCCACUUCUUCUAUAUUUGUCAAUUUCAGACAUGGCCUUGGGAUGUAUGUUAGCUCAGAUUGAUGACUCAUGGAAUGAACGAGCUAUUUACUAUCUGAGUAAGAGGAUGCUGGAGUAUGAGAUGAAGUAUGUUAUGAUUGAGCGCCUAUGCUUAGCAUUAGUUUGGGCUACCAGGAGAUUGAGGCAUUACAUGACAGAGUACUCACUGCAUUUGAUAUCCUGUCUAGAUCCAUUGAGAUACUUAUUUGAUAGACCUGCAUUAACUGGUAGACUGAUGAGAUGGCUCGUGCUUUUGACAGAGUUCGAUAUCCAGUACGUUUCUCAGAAGUCUAUUAAGGGAAGUAUUGUCGCCGACCACCUAGCCUCACUAUCGACAUCUGAGGAUAGACCAGUUGAUGAUGAUUUUCCAAAUGAGGAGUUUGUUGCUAUGACUAGCUUAUCAGGAUGGUGCAUGUACUUCGAUGGUGCAGCCAAUUAAUCAGGGUAUGGGAUAGGUGUUCUGUUGGUAUCCCCUCAGAAUGAUCACAUUCCGAGGUCUGUUCGUUUGACAUUCUCUUAUCGACAUUCUAUCACGAAUAAUAUAGUUGAGUAUGAGGCUUGUAUCCUUGGUUUAGAGACUGCGUUGGAGCUUGACAUUAAACAGAUAGAGGUAUUUGGUGACUCCAAUCUGGUACUUAGACAAAUUCAGGGAGACUGGAAGACUAGGGACGUAAAGCUUAGGCCGUAUCACGCUUAUUUGGAGUUACUGAUUACGAGAUUUGAUGACUUGAGAUAUGUUCAUCUGCCCAGAGCGCAGAACCGAUUUGCCGAUGCCUUAGCUACCCUAACUUCUUCUAUGGACAUUCCGAUUGAUGUAGUUGUACGUCCAUUGCUGAUUGAGUUGAGAUUUGCACCUACCUACUAUUGUUUGAUUGGAGAAACAGAGGUCCAGGAUGAUCUACCUUGGUAUCAUGACAUUUAUCAGUUUCUUAGAUUUGGCACAUACCCUGAGGUAGCCACUGCCAAGGAUCAGAGAGCACUGAGGCAUUUGCCUAUUAGAUUUGUGAUUUGUGGAGAUACUUUAUAUAGGCGAUCAGCUGAUGGUAUGCUUCUAUUAUGUUUAGAUUGAGCCUCUAUAGAUCGAGUGAUGAGAGAAGUUCAUGCAGGAGUUUGUGGUCCACAUAUGGGAGGACACAUGCUGGCUAGUAAAAUUAUGAGGAUAGGUUAUUUCUGGUUGACUAUGGAGACAGAUUGUUGUCAGUUUGUUUAGAAAUGCCCAGAGUGUUAGAUUCAUGGUGAUCUCAUUCAUGCACCGCCAUCAGAGUUACACACUUUGACCUCGCCAUGGCCAUUUUCAGUAUGGGGUAUUGAUAUUAUUGGGAAGGUUUCACCAAAAUCUUCAUGUGGUCAUGAGUUCAUCCUAGUUGCCAUAGAUUAUUUCACCAAGUGGGUGGAAACCGCAUCAUAUGCGAGGUUGACAUUUGCUAGGGUUGCCAGUUUCAUCAAGUUACACAUCAUUUGUCGUUAUGGGGUUCCCCAUGAGUUGAUUUCAAAUAGAGGGGUGCACUUCCAAGCUGAGGUAGAUACUUUGUUACAGAAGUAUGGCAUCCGACAUCAUAGAUCUUCAGCAUAUAGGCCACAGACCAACAAGGCAAUAGAGGCUGCGAAUAAGAAUAUUAAGAGGAUUUUGAGGAAAAUGGUUGAAACUUCUCGAGAUUGGUCAAAGAAACUCCCUUUUGCAUUGUGGGCAUACUGUACCUCUUUUCGCAGCUCUACAGGAGCUACACCUUACUCGCUAAUGUAUGGUAUGAAGGUUGUUUUGCCGGUUGAGACAGAGAUGGGUUCUUUGAGAGUAAUCCUUAAGCAGCAGAUUUCUGAGACAGAGUGGGUUUAGGCUCGGUUUGACCAGCUUAACCUUUUAGAUGAGAAGAGAUUGAGAGCAACCAAUCAUGUUCAGGCCUAUCAGAGGAAGAUGGCUCGUGCCUUCAGGAAACGGGUUAAGCCUAGACCAUUACAAAAAUGGGAUUUAGUUUUAAGGAUUCUCAGAGGUUUGAUUGGAGACCUUAGAGGAAGUUUAGACCUAGUUGGAGUGGGCCUUAUGUUAUUUGAGAGUUGACUCCAGAAGGGGCUGCAUGGUUGACUGACUUAGAUGAAAACCAGUUUUCAAAGCCUACCAAUGUGGAUCAACUGAAGAAGUAUUAUGUUUGAGAUUAGGGUCGCAGGAUGGAUGGCCAUCAUUUCAGUCAGCCUUACACCUUAUCACAUUUAUUAAUGUAUUAAACCGUUGCUAGCCUAUUGAACCCCACAUGGUAUGUUAUAGCCUUAUUUCUUUCUUAUAGCCUUAAUUACCAUUUCUAUACCCUGGUUAGGGCCCUUUGAUGUUUAUGCAUGCUUUGCUAGGAAAGUCUCAUGAGUUUUAGACUUAUAGGCCUAUUUUCUCAUUCUUGUUACCAUCCCCUUAUCACCCCCGUUUGUUCUAUUUUACUAUCAUCACAUUUUCAUUAUCUUAUUGUGUUUAUCAUUAUUUGCUUCAUCUUAUCUCUUCUCUUUCUUGGGUUGAUGAUUCUUCACAUCUUGGUGCAAAAGAGGGCAGUCAUAUCACUCCAUCCAUCCCAUCAAUUGGCAUCGAUUCAGAGAUUUUAGUUUGAGAGGUUGUCUCAUGGGUUGGGGUUCAUGUAUUCAUCAGUGGUUUGAGAGAGUUUGUUCACUCCUUGUAUCUUUCCCAUUGGAGUCCGAUUUAUUGAUGAUCAGAAGAUGCACAUUCAAAAAAAAAAAAAAAAACGCAAUGACAUGUUUGUGUAUGGUAUCUUGCUCCAUUGGGCACUUAUAUCACCUUUUGAGGUUUAUUUACUAGGUAUAUUAGUCAUUGUGGGUUCUUGUGAGAUUUUUAUACGAGUUUUCACUCCUUGAGCCACUCUUGUUAUGCAUUUGGAGUGUUGGGGGUUCAUGUGAGGGUUCUAUGGUAUCCUAUGCUUCUUGGGUCAUGGUAGAUAUGUGUUAGGUAUGAGAGAUGAGUGACCUUUUACUAGGGUCUCCAGAUCAUUGUCUUAUCCACUAUUACAUCGUUGGUUAUAUGACUUUGCUUUAUUGUACUGAUAUGGAUUGAUCAUCAUUCAUUCCCCUUUCUUAUUGCCUUACUUUGUAUCUCCUUACCCAUUUCCAGAUCUUCAUUCCACUUUUUAUCCAUUUCCUACAUAUUGAUACACGUUUUUUGAUUCGAUACCUUAUUCACAUCAUUUACAUGUUUCAUUGAUGGUUUGACCACUCAUCCUUUCUCUCAUUUCGCCCUUGACAUUUCCUUUGGUUACCUUUAGGUCCAUGGCUCAUGAGGUUUUUUUCUAUGCAUUACAUCUUAUACACGAGAGUAUGGGUUUGAUCAUUGGGUAUUUGAGCCUAGUUUCCCUUCAUUUCUUUCAUCCUAUCACCUUGACCUACGUUAUGUCUCGUGUCUUAAGACCACCCUGAGGCCAUGAGAUCAGGCGUUAUCUUUGACAGUCUUCACUUGGACAGGCUUUUGUAGACUGGUUGAAGUAUAGUCGUUACCAUGUUCUCUUUUAUGGAAGAUACUUUUGGAAGAAUUUGGUCUCUCUCUUGCUUGACAUAUUGAUGUUUGAUGGAUUUUUGAGUUUGAAGACAAUUCAUUGAUGAUAUCGGAUUUAUCCUUUUGUCGACAUCAGAUAUCCAUACUGGGGCAUAUUCCCCUUUCAUUCGGUUGAGAUGAGCCCCUAGUGGAGCACUUUCUUUGAGUUUGGGCUUAUUUUCACUGAUUCGAGAUUCCUAAUAGAGUAUGUUGAGAUGAUAUCAGUUAUAGUGGAGCAUUAUUGAGCUUAUUGACAGUUUUUAUGAUUCUAGGUUCCAUUUGCGGAGUAUUUUUGAGAUAGACUAGUGGAUCAUUUUUAAGUUGGAGGCAAUUUUCAGUGCAGUGUAUAGAUCUUAUAUAUUGGGGUAUAUUUUCCCAUUUUGAGGUCACCAGAUUCCCAUCAGAUUUAGUUAGGGAUUCAUCAGAGAAGUGCUUCUACUCUCGAGAUUAUCAUAUUCCUUAUCAUUUUGGUUAUUCAUUUGAGAUCAGAUUUAAAGUGUCUUCCUUGAGCCAUCGGCUGAUACUUCAUUCUGAUUUCUUAGCGGAUUAUUGUUGAGUUGGAGACAGUUGAUUGAUGAUGUUAGAUUCAUCAUUUUGAUUGUGCAUCAGAUAUCCACACUAGGGCAUAUUUCCCCUUUUCUUUGAGGUUUCUAGUUGUUGUUGGAUGAUAUGACUAUUCCUAUCCAUGGUUAUAGAGAUGUUUGAUUGAUUUUGACGGAUUCUUUAUUGUACAUCAGAUAUCCAUACUGGGGCAUAUUCCCCUUUCCAUGAUGAGAUUAUGUUCGGGCAGCAGUACAUAGAUGGAUGAUCAUUGUUGGUUGUUUAUCUCAUAACUUCGACAUCAUAUAUCCAUACUGGGGCAUAUUCCUCUCUCCUUUACGAGAUUUGUUUGGGUAGUGGUAUGAGGAUGGAUGAUUAGUGUCGGUUGUUUACCUCAUGACUUUGAUAUCAAAUCUUAUACUGGGGCAUAUUUCCCCAUUUUCUUUUAGUAUCCUUGAGAUUGAGACAGUGGCCAGCUUAGUUUUAGAUUGAGUGCCAGUCUGGAGUUUCCGACGAUUGACUUCAUUAGGACCCCCCUAUAAGGAUUUGUUGAGAUAGAGAUGGAUCAUAUCGGGUUUUACCCGAGGAGCAUGGGUGGAUCCUUUAGCCAAAUGUUCAUAGGAUAGAUUUGUUUUCGUCAUUGUUACCUUGAAGAUUGGAUUACCCAGAUGAGCAGUAUUUUGUGCACUUUGAGAUUUGUUUUUAGAUAAGCCACAAUAUACACACUUUGAGAUUUACCUUUUGAGAUCCGUCGACAGAGCAGCUUUUCAGACACAGAGAGAGUUCUUUCAGUUUAGACUUUUCAGAGGUUUGUCAUGAUACAUCGGUUUCUGACCUAUUGAUUUCAACGGAUGAUUGAUUUACUGGUUGUUUCAACACUGCAAGCACCCUAGAUACUGGGGCAUAUUUCCCUUCUUGAGUUCAGUAGUCCAACUCUUGGCAUUUUGAGUGUAUGGUUUUGAGCCUAUUUAUUUCCUAUCCACUUUCGAGUUAGUCUUAUUUAUCUGUUGCUUCUAGACCCUGAGUCUUACAGCCCUGAGCUAUCCACUCCUUCUACGCCCUGAGCCUCGUAACCCUGAGCUAUCAUUUUCCUCUUAGUCCUUGAGCCUCAUAGCCUUGAGCUAUCCAUUCCUUCUAGGCCCUAAGUCUCAUAGCCCUAAGCCAUCCUUCUCCUCUUAGGCCCUGAGCUUCGUAGCCUUGAGCUAUCCUUUUCCUCUUAGGCCCUGAGCCUCGUAGCCCUGAACUAUCACUUCUUAUUUAAGACCCAGAGUCUUUCCAGCCCUGAGCUAAGCCUGCAUCAUUUGGUCGCCCAUGAGUGGUAUGACCUGGAGUUUGCGUAUCGCACUCUCUUUCUAGUUGAUCAGUCAUAGAGCUCCGAGCUCAUGGCCCUGAGCUAUUCGUUGUAACCCUGAGUUACUCAUUGCAUCAUGACCCAGAGUCAUUCAUUCCAUCCAUAGCCUUGAGCUAUUCAUUGUAACCCUGAGUUACUCAUUGCACCAUGACCUAGAGUCAUUCAUGACAUCUUGAGCCUUGAGCUCACGACCCAGAGUCAUUUGCAUCCUUCACAUCCCUGAGAUGUUUCGUUUCAUCAUUCUAGCCAAUUGUGAGUGGCCUCGACCCGGCACCAUGAGCCGAAAAGCAUCCUGAUCGGCUAUCCGUUUAGAGCCCUGAGUUCUCGACCUAGAGUCGAUUUUCAUUUAUGACCUAGAGUAAUUUCUUUCCAUUUAGAGCCCUGGGCUCAUGACCUGGAGUCAUUCACUCCAUCUAUGACCCAUAGUCAUUCUUAGCAUUUAUAGCCCUGAGCUCGCAACCCAGAGUCGUUUAUCCUAUUCAUGACCCAGAGUCAUUUAUCCUAUUUCCGACCAUGAGUCAUUUAUCCUAUUUUUGACCUAGAGUCGUUCAUCCUAUCCAUGACCUAGAGUCAUUCAUCUCAUCCAUGACUUUGAGUCAUCAUUUUCAUAUAUUUCCAUCUUUGUGCUACUUGUCACAUACCUUUAUCUCUUUACUGUCAUUCUCCCCACAUAGAGUAGUUUCAUCCUUGUCGUUGAAGCCUUGUGUUCCAACCUUUCUCUCGCCAUGUGCUAAGACAAAAUCUCUGGUCCUUCUUUAGUUCUUCGGUAUAGUUCACUUUGUUCCAUUCAUUAUUCGUAUUUUUACUCACAUUCAUUACACUCGCAAUCUAUACCGAAGAGGGGCAUAUUUGUAUACCCUCAAUUUUGUCCCUUUAGCACAUGUCUUUAAGUUCACUUUCAAUGUUCCACAGUAGUUCUUUGGUGGCCCAUAACUACUCAUACUACUUACCUUUUUUGAGCCACCUCAGAGACUUUGUUGAGGGAUUUAUCUAACCUCAUUGUGACUCUUGGCAGCCCUAAUUUAGACUUAGGCCCACUUAGGCACCCUAGACCCAUUUAGAUACACUUGGCCCAUUAGGCAUCACCUUAGGCCCAUUUAGAUGCACUUGACACCUUCUAGCUUGCACACAUUCACCCUAGGUCACUUAGACAAUCUUUCAGAAUAGGUCACUUGGACACUUCUUUUGGAAUAGUUCACUUAGGCAUGUGCUUGAUUUUGGUUACUUAUUUUUCAGGAUAAGAUGAGUGUUGGCUUGACUUUUUAUUACAUGAAAUGAAUUUUUUAUUCUAUCUUUAUUUUAUUUUUAUUUUUAUUUUUGAAGGUUUGAGUUUGACAUUUAAAUUAUUAUAAUCCGUUGCAUUACUUUAAUUUCUUGAUUUUUUUUAAUUGCAUACGUCUGAUAUUUAUUUUUAUACCCUUACCAAUUUAUUUGUUUAUUUACUCACUUAUUCAUUUAUUCCUUAAUUCCAUGAAUUGACAUUUUGGAUUUUUGUGGCUAUGUGAUUUGAUUUUCUAUUUUAUUUUAUUUUAUUUCCAAUUACAUGAUUUCUUAUUUCAACUUUAUUUUUAAUUUUGCAUGAGACUUGGAGCCAUCAAGGAAAGGAAAUCACGGCCAAAUAGGGAAACUUGGAAGGAAUUCGGGCUGCAUAUUAUUUGCUUGAAGAAAGAAUCCGAGCUGCAUAUAGAAAGUGGGCAGAUCAUGGCUGAGGAACAUCCGGGAGCAUAUGGAAAGAAGAUUAAAGGGGAUCUGAUCACUUACCAAACAAGAUACGACUGCAUCGUUGGGGAAAUCUCCAAGUGAGCCACACAUAAUGGACUUCCCAUAUCCACGCACACGUAGGAAAAAAUGGAAAUAAGAUAUUCCAUAAAGAGUGGGUUGCCUUAUAAAUAAAGGAGAGAAUCCAAGCAUAAGAGGAAUUUUUUUUUCGAAGGGGAAUAGGCGGAAAGAAUUUUCACAUGGAGACUUUUCUUUUGGAGGGCAGAGAGGACACGAGAGCAAUUCUUUUGAGAUGACUCGCGAAGAACUUUGAAGAGCCGACACAUAACCAUAAAAGAGGGAGGAACAACCCACAAAAUCUUCACAAAUAACGGUUUAUAGGUAAGUGUACGCUUUCAAAUUUAUCUUUGAUUUCGUUUUGAUUCAUCCUUUUAGUCUUGAGUGUUUUAAUGAUUUUAGUUCUUUGAUUUAAUUAAUCCUAUCUAAUAAAUUUCUUGUUUUAAUUUCGAUUUAGUUUUAAUUUAUUUUUCUUUUUUAGUUUGGAUGUGUUUGUGGUUUUAAUUCUUUAGUUUAAUUUAUCCCAUUAGAUAAAGUUCCCUUUUUUUUUAUUCCAAUUCGAUUUAGUUUUAAUUUAUCUUUUAUGUUUAGAUGUGUUUGUAGUUUUCUUUAAUUUAAUUGUUUCUAUUAUAAAAGUCCCUAUUUUUAAUUUUGAUCUAGUUCAAUUUUAAUAUAUUUUUUAUGCUUAGAUGUGUUUGUGAUAUUAAUUUGUCAGUUUAAUUAUUUCUAUUAGAAAAGUUUUGUUUUUAAUUUUGAUUUAGUUCACUGUUAAUCUACCUUUUAUGUUUAGUGUUUGUCGUUUUAAUUCGUUAGUUUAACUGUUCAUAUUAGAAAAGUUCUUAUUUUUAAUUUCAAUUUAGUUCAAUUUUAAUCUAUCUCAUAUAUUUGUGAUUUUAAUUCGUUAGUUUAAUUAUUCCUAUUAGUAAAGUUCUUAUUUUUAAUUUCAAUUUAGUUCGAUUUUAAUCUAUCCUAUAUGUUUUUGCGAUUUUAAUUCGUUAGUUUAAUUAUUCGUAUUAGAAAAGUUCUUAUUUUUAAUUUCAAUUUUAAUCUCUCUUAUAUGUUUAAAUGUGUUUGAGAUGUUAAUUAUUAGUUUAAGUAUUCCUCAUAGAUAAAGUUCACAUUUUUAAAAUCCCAAAUUAGUUUAAAUUUUAAUUUAGCUGUUAGUUUAAAUAUGUUUGUGAUUUUAAUUCCUUAGUUUAAGUAAUUUAAGAGAUAAAGUUUAAUUUUAUUUUAUUUUUUUGGAUUAAUUUAGUUUUAGUUUAUAAUUUAAUUUGAAUGCGUUAAUGAUUUCAAUUCCUUAGUUUAAAUAAUUUGUGAGAUAAAGUUUACUUUCUUUAAUUUCAAAUUAACUUAGUUUUAGUUUAUGAUUUAAUUUGAAUGUGUUAGUGAUCCUAAUUAGUUUGAUUUUAAUUCGUUUUUAGUUUAAAUAAUCACGCUAAAUAAAGUUUGUAUUUUUAAUUCCAAUUACUUUAAUUUUAAUUCGUUUUUAACUUAAAAGCAUUCGUGGAUCUUAAUUCUUUAGUUUAAAUGAUUGUAUUAAGUAAAGUUUGAGUUUUUAAUAUUCCAAUAACUUUAUUAAGUAGAAUUUAAUUUCAAUUCAGUUUGAUUUUAAUUUGUUUUAUAAUCUGAACGUGUUCAUGAUUUUAAUUCAAUUGUUUGAUUAACCCUCUUUAACAAAUUCCAUAUUUUUAAUUUCGAUCUUAGUUUAAUUUUAUUUUGUUAAUUUAUUUAUUUGCUUUAGUUUAAAUAUAUUUGUGAUUUCAAUUUGAUAGUUUAGCCAAUCUUAUUAGAUGAUGAUGUCCUUAAUUUAAUCUAGUAUUAAUUAUUUUUAGUAUUGAAUGUGUUUGUGUUUUUUAUUUCAUUAACUUUGAAUUUAAUCCGUUUAUAUCCAAUUUUGCAAUUGAUUAUAAUUUUGUUUAAUUAAUUCAGUCAAUCACGUGUAAUUAUUUUCAUGUUUUAAGUAUGGUAAUUUUGGCUUUGAUCUAUUGACAUUUAGUAUGAGCUUUAGGAAUUUUAGAUAAUUAAUCCAGUUAAUUGUAUGUCAUUGGUUUCAUACCUUCAAGAUUUUUGAACUUUGGUAUUUGAUUCAUCAUAUUUUGUUAAAAUGCUAAUUUACCUUAAUUGAUUCCAUAUUAUUAUCUCCAUAUGCUAAGUUUGUUGGCUUUAAUAUUUGAUUGGUUAUUUUUAUUUUAAUUCAUGUGCUUCUUGAAAUCUAAAUGUUAGUCUUUGGUAAUAUUUUGUUAGUUUGUUUUAUUAGGAAAUUAUAAAUUUGAUGUCUUAGUGAUUGUUAGUUAAAUUCUUAUUUUUUGAAGGCCAUUGGAAACUCAUGAAAGUUGGUCUUACCCUCACCACUUUAAUUGACAUGAUUUUCUAAAUCUUUAUUUUGUGAUUUUCGCUUUCUUUUGUUUUGAUUGGUAUUUGGUUUUCUUUGUUUUAUUAUUUUAAAAAUUAAUUCCUUUUAUUUUAAAAUCAAAACCUUUUUCUCCGAAGACCCCUUUAAGAAAUUCUUUUUUUUUUAAAAAAAAAAAUCAUUUAGAGUCCUUAGAAUAAAAAAACCCCAUUUUCUUAAAAUAAUAUGCAACCAUUUUUUGAUCGAUUUCCAUCUUUCUCGGUUUUUUAAUGAAAAUUUUGGUUUAAAAUCAAACACAAAUCCAAGCUUAUGGUCCCACAUAAAUGGGAUAAUUUCAGGUUAGAUUUGUGUAUAUCAAUUGGGGAAUUGGUGAAACCCCUACAUAAAAAAAAUAAAAAAUAAAUAAAAAAUCUUUUCAAAACUUAUUUUUGCUACCGCCUUUGUUGGUUGUUACAUUCAUAUCUUUUUUUUUGGAAUUGUACAUAAGAUGUGUGUAAUAAUUGAUGAUUUCGUAUUCUUUGAUCAUUUUUGCUAUGAGCUAUAUAUGCUAUCCAGGUAUGUUCCCUAAUACCCACUUUCUAAACCCCGUGAACAUGAUUGUCAUUGUGUACUAUGCCCAUGCUUGCUAUCCUAUUUGAUUGCCUUGAUAUAUAUUUGAUGCUUUUUUUUUAUUAUCUUUGACAAAAACACAUGUUGUGAUAUAUUUUUAUACUAACUUUUAUGUUUCAUGAUAGCGCUUGAGAAGCCGUUUAGGUACGCACUUUGAUUCUCUCUUAUGAUCAGACUUUCUUAUUUGGCAUGCUAUUUUUUGAAAUCACCUAGCCUACCUAGGUAUCCAUGAUCAACCAUUUAAUUGUCACGUUUCCCUCAACUUAAUUAGUAGAGACCUCUUUAGGGCUUAGAGGGGUGCUACCUCCUAGAGGUAUCUUCCUAGUAAGUAACCUAAUCCCCGGACCUAGACUCGGUUUUUUCAAAGAGAUGCUUUUUUCAAAAAUUAUGGAGUCACAUUUUAGGGUUUUUCUUUCUUGUUUUAUUUUCCCUUUAAAAUAAAAAUAAAAUAAUGGCGACUCCGACUUUUUCCAAAAUUAAUUUUUCACAAAUAGAAAAGCAAGUCUCUCCGAUCGAAUGAGGGCGCAUGUGAAAAAUGCGGGUCCAUAGAUAGGCCUCUCAUUUCUAAUGUAUGCAAGUUUUAACUGUAUACCAUGGUAAAUUAGAUGAGAAACUAUAGUAAAUUGGAUGAAAGAUUAACCCGACGUGAUUUCUUUGUCAAUUUGGAAGGAUGGUGUAAUUUUAGGAAAUGACAAGCUUGCACAUAAUUAUAAUUAUAUUUUGAUGAACGAGACAAUUGUUUAAUGUUCUAUCUUGGUGUUUGGCAUUCAACAAAUUAUGUUCAUAUUUAAUUAAAAAGUUUAAUGUAACCUUGUAAAUGCAUAGUUUAUACUCACAUUGUUUAGAUCAUAUCUGGAAAGUUGAAAAAAAAAAUGGGACUCCAUUACAUAUCUCAUUAAUAAAUAUGUAUGAAUUACUUAUUAAAAAUAGAAAUAGGUCAUCCAUGCCAUGAGAAGUCAUGCCUCCAAAAGCAAAAAGCAAAAAACAAGUUCUUACAAUUCAACUUUUUUGGCAUCCAUGAUGAGUUUAUCAACCUAACUAUUACCCACCAACUAAUAAUAAUUGUAGCAUUAAUGCGAGUCAACUAACAAUCCUUCUUCCAUUUACCUCUAUCUUGGAAUUUGAUCUAUUAAAUUUUCUUCCUUUUACCUCUAUCUUGGUAUUUGACAUGUUAAAAUUGGACCUUCACUCCAUGUUAUAUACGAGCAUAGUUUUUAAGUAGAAAUAGGUAUAGUUGCUAUGCUACUAAAUUUUAUAUUUGGAAAUUGGAAAUAUUAAAAAUGUUUUAAUUGAAAAUAAAUAUAAUUUUAAUAUUUUCAAAUAUUUUAAUGAAAUAAAAUUAAUUUGGUGUCCCAUUUUUUUUUUUCAGGAUCAAUAAAGUGUGAACCCCAUAUUUAAGAAUCCUACGUAACUAUGUUUAGAAUUUGUAAAUGACAUAUAAACAUUCAUUGACCUAAAAACUCUCCUUGAGAGGUUUAAUUAAUAUAUACUGGAAAUUUCCACCCAAAAAACAUAGCACAAUACCUUGUUUGAGGUAAAUUUAGUGGAAUGCAUUAUGGGAAUUGCUCAAUAGUUAAAAAUGAGGGUGUGCUUGUUAAACUCAAAAGAUUAAAUACGUGGUCAACGUGAGAACUGAUACCAAUUUUUCAGACGAUACAACAACCCAACUGUCAAUUCAUAAAUUUUAUAUAAAUGAGGAGACAUACUGCUCCUUGGACCAAGGUAGAUUUUGUUUUUGAGUCUACGUUAUUUUCUCCAAAAAAAAUAUUAUAACUAUAAAAUUGUUUUCUAUUUUUUAUUGUUAAAAACAAAAAAACAUAUAUUUUCAGAUAAUAUCUUUUAAUAAUUUUUCAUUAUUUUUGCAUAUUUUUUUAAUGUAGUUUUGAAAAAUAAUUAUACAAACAUGGAAAAUAAUUAAAAAUAAAAUACUAGAUAUACAAAUUAUUUUAAAAAUAGGUUAAAUAUAAUUCAGGUUCCUAAAGAGAAUUUUGUUUUAUAAAACACUAUAAAAUAGUUUUUAAAAACUAUUUUUUACAAUUGUUUUAAAAAACAAUUACCAAUUACCAAAUAGGGCCCUAAAAAUAGAGAUGUGUCAAUAUUAACUAACAAGCUAGAAAGAGAGAUGUGUUAAUAUUAUAAUUAACCAUUAUAGGCAAACAUUGAAGUCAUUCUAUCAUAUCCAAAAUUGGCACCAUAAUUUUCCAUUUUCAACUUAUUUUCUUUUUACCGAUGUAACUAUGUGGAAAUUUCUUGUUUUAUUAAUUCAAUAUGCAUGAGAUAUUUCAAUGGUCCAUCCGUCUAAUUAAUGGUUGGAAACCGAUAGAAAUAUGAAACAACUUUUUCAUAUUGUUAAGAAUCUUUUAAAAUGUCUUUCUUUUGUCACUUCAAAUGAUUGGGUUCAUUAAUCUUAACCAUUCAUUCAAUGCUUGAGUUUGCAUCCACUGCUCACAUCCCUAUCCACCAUUAUACAUAUUGAUAUAUUUAUUAUUUUUGUUUUUAUUUCUAAGAUUAACAACUUUGGAACAUAAAAUGAUUAGGGAGUAGAGCAUGAAUGCAAGAACAACUUUUGAACUUAAACAUUAAGAUUGAAAUGGUCUAAAUCAGAUCAAGUGAUUUACUUGUGUGUUGGGUGUAUCCCAGAAGCCCACAUCAAAUGGAAAAUCACCCUCACCUCCCUGGAUUUGUUCAAUCAUACCAUCCAUGGGUCCCUUUUUCUGUGUUGCAGUUUCUUCUGUCCUGAGGCUUGCGAUAAGCAUCUCUCCAGAAGCCGAAAAGUCAGUUUCUUGAUCCAUUUGAGCAUGCUCAGCUAACAGGCUUUCCCACCAUAUGAUGUCAUCAUUCGGUUGUGGUGAAGUGGAUGAUGGCUUCCUGGAAGUACUGACUUGUGUGUCAAAAGUAUCCACAGCUGUAGUUUUUAGUUCAAACCUUGGCAAGGCUUUGGAGAACUUGUGAGGGUGAG